rnacentral:lncRNA from 1 species
CGGGGGGAACUAAUAGGCAACGGGGCGGGGGGCGGGGGAGGGGUCCCCCGCCCCAACCCCGCCCCGUUGCCAUCCCUAAUUAAAUGCAUUUUUGAAACGUGUGUAGGCCAAUUGUAGUAAUUACUUUGCGUCCAUUUUCCCUUUUACACAAAACCACAGGGAGCUUGUGGACAUUUUAAAUUGUUGGGGGUUCAUGUGGCAAUAUGCAAAACAUAGGGGGAUUAGUAUUAAUUUAGCAAAAAUAAUUCAAAAUAGUCCUUACAUUUCACCUAAUGAAUUUUUUCGUUAUUCACUUUUAAAAUAUUAACUUUAUAUGCCUUACAAAUUAAAUUUGACAAAAUUUGGUUACAAUCUAAGUUUUCGACCAUCUUUUAUCCCGUGAUCACUAUGUGACCCACAUGUAGUCAUCUGUUAUUCAUAAUUCCGAAUCAUAAAUAAAACUGCAAAGACUACCAUUUACCGAGACUUAUCAUACUUCUAAGUAGUGCUCAAAUACAGAUAAGUCAUAAAUGACCAUAUACACACAUAAGUAUAGACAUAUUCCGAGUAUAUGAACAUGUAAUUACAUUAUAUAUAUGUAUGUAUAUAUAUCUGCACGUGCGCGUAUAUAUGUAUUAAUGAACCAGAACUACAAAAUAAUAAUAAUGUUGUUACCUUUCUUAAAAGGCACAGGAAAUUGGUGUUGCAUUUUAGCAUCGGAAACUUAGAACUAAGAUGCUUAAAAUGAACCAAUAAAUAAAUUAAUAAGCUUAGUGCUAAGUUUUUAACACGAGCAGAAAAUUACAGCUAUACAAGGAACUUGGAACUAAGAUGAUGCAGGCUGCAAAGGUAUAGGAAGUCCAUUUUCUCGGGUAGGCAUCAUAUCACCAACAUCCUUUUGUUGGGGAGCAAAACCUCACAUUUGUGCUUUUUGACCACAAUGAGCACAAAUGUGGAAGAAUGCUAAUAAAGCACCAGACGGAACGUAUGUAAAUGAAGCUAAGCCAUUUACGUUCUCCUCUAGAAUCAUACCCUGAGGGUCUGUUUGGUUCACGGACUGGAUGAGAUAGGAUGACUCAUCCUGUAUUAUUAAUCUUGGGUUGAGUCAUCUUCAGAUAAAUAAUCCAAGUUAUCUAGUGUUUGGUUGAUUCUCGGUUGGAUAGAAUAUGUUGGAAAAUAAUCCUAUCCUGUGUUUGGUUGGAGAUUGGAUGAGGAAGGAUUAUUAUUUUAAUGACCAAAGCAUCCCUUAAUUUGUAGAUUCUUUUUAAUAAAAUAAUUUAGUAUUCUAUAAAAUAUUAAUAAUAUAAUAUAACAAAUAAUUUAAUAUUUAUAAAUUUUAUUAAAAUAGAGCAGUUUAAAACUUUAUAAUUAUAAAGUAAAUCAAGGGUUUUGACAUAAAAAUUCGCAUUCAUUCAAACUUAGCCCAUUUGGGCCCUUAAAAAUAGAUUUUGACCAAGCUUUUGAACCUAAAUUUGAAAUUCAAUUAAAUAACGGGCCAAGUUUUGGCUAAAUUAAGGUUAAAUCAAUUAAAACCUAACUCAUUUAAAAGCUUUCAGUGAGCCGAACUCAGGCUAAUAUAGAAGAUUUUUCUUUGGAUCGAGUUUGAGUUUACUGAAGUCCUCGUUCACAAAGUCCAAUUGAUAAGAUUAUAUAUUUAUAUAAAUUUCGUUUAGAAAAUAAGGUUAGUAAGGGUAAUUUAGUCCAAGGGCAAUAUAAUCCUUCUAUUAUGAUGUUAGUAUGGCAAAUUAGCCAAAAAUUUUAAAUCAAUUACUAGGGGCAAGUCGAAAUUUUUAAAAUAAUGAAUAGGGGCAAAUUAGUCAAAAAUUUUAAUAGAAUUAGUAAGGGCUAAUUGGUCUGUUUAUUAUGAUAUUAUUGUGUGAGAGUAUGGUUACAUAGUAGCUAAUUUGAAUUUGAAUCAUUCAUAAGGAUAAAUUAAUCCAAAUAUUGUUAUAUUGGUAGUAGGGGCAAAUUAGUCAAAAAACUUUAAAAUUAAAUAGUAGGGGCAAAUUAGUCCAUUCAUAUUAUAUUAUCAUGUGAGAGUAGGAUUAUAUAAUUAUAAGAGUAUAAAUUUGAAUUUUUUAUAAUGAUAAAUUAGUUUAAAAUUUUAUCAUCUUAUUUGUUAGUUAUCCUAGAAUCCCAUGAAUCGGGGAUUAAUUUAAUUAGUUAGGUAGGAUGUGUCAUCCCAUGUAUAAAAUAUAACCAAAACAUGGAAUGAUACAGGAUGAUUAAUCCAAUCCUGUGCCAUCUCAUGAAUCAAAUAGACCCUGAAGGAUCAAAUUUCUUAAACAUGGUACUUUAGUUAAUGUCUUGCGACAAAGUAUCAAAAUACUCCAUGGUGUAUCCACCAUUUCACUAUAAGAUUCUGGCUAGUUAUAGUCUACUGUUAUGUCCUUUGAACGCAGAGAUUCUAAAUCUUGAUGACUCUUCUUUUCCUACUCCAUUCUUGCCAAAAUUUUAGGAUGUUUAGUUCUCCAAUUUAAAAGAUUAAAGAAACUAUAUAUUUUUUUCUUUUAUGUUAGAACUAAUUGGAAGGUAUCUGAUCAGUAAUUGACAACUUAAAAAGGAAAAGGUUACAUACUUUCUUUAACUUCUUAAGUUGGAGAAUGGAUGGAACAUUGUUGAUCAAUUACCUUCCAAUUAGUUCUAAUCAAUGUUUUAAAAACCGGACCGUUAAUCGAACCAGUGAAGUGAAAGGGUCGAGGUUCAACCGGUCGGACCGGUUCAACCUCGGUUCAAUGAAUUUUUUAAAAAAUAAUUUAUAUAAAUAUAUAUGUGCACAAAAUAAGACAUGUAAUGGAUAACUUGGAUUUUUGAAAAUAAAUUUUUUAUAUAAUGAAAAGUUUUUAUAUAAAUUUUUUAAUACUUUAUAUAAUGAAAAGUUUACUAUUUUUGAAUAACUUGGAUUUUUGAAAAUAAAUUUUUUAAAUUAUAAGUCAAAACAAAUAAAUUUCAUCUCAAUUUCAAUUAUAUCUACCAAAAAAAUCUUAAAUAUAAUCCAAAAAUAUCACAAUAUUUGAAAUUAUACAAAAUUCACGUCUAUGAGAAUUUAGACAUUGUGAACUUAAAUUUUAAUUUACAUUUUGGAAUUUAAAUUUACAAAUAAAAAAAGGAAGUUUGGAGUUCGAAGAAAAUCAAGAGAAUUGAAAAUAGAAAUGCAAAUUUGAUAAAAAACAAAAAAUGAGAUAAAAGUAAGUGGUUGUGGUAUUAAAUAAAUUGGGUUAAAGAAAAAUAAUUCUUUUUUAACUUUUUUAAAUUUAAUGGACAAAAACAAAAUUAAAAUAUGGAAGAAAACAUCAAUAAAUUAAAAAUAAAGAGGUUUGAUUAAAAAAUGAGUGGUAAAAGAAAAGAUGAUAGAGAGAGAGAGAGUGUGUGUGUGUGUGUGUGUGUGUUGAAGAUUAAAAAGAAAGAGUCAUGAAAGAAUGAUAUUUUGUAAAAAAAAAAUGGAACAAAAGAAAUAUGAGUGUUUGUUUUAUAUAAAUAAGUUAUCAAAAAAAACUAAUAAGAUGUGAUAGUGCAACGGUUACUACAUUGGUCUUCUAUUACAAAGGUCUUGAGUUUGAAUUUUGAUAACUACAUUUUGCAAAAAAAAAAAAAAAAAAAAAAAAAGGAAAACUCAAAAACCGGAAAUAACCGGUUCAAAUCCGGUUCAGCGGUUUCGCGGUCCGACCGAUUUUUGACCGGUUUCUUGACAAAGUCAAACCUGACAUUGAACCGGACCGGAGCCAUGGCCGGUUCGCGGUUCAACCGAUCAAACCGGCCGGUCCGGUCCGAUUUUCAAAACACUGGUUCUAAUAUUCUUGUAGUCAAUAUCAAAUUCAAUGCACAAAAUAUUUUUCUUCUCCCUGCUUCCUACCCUUGAUGUAAGCAAAAUUCUGAACAGUUCCAAAAGGUCGAGGAGCCAAUUAUGUUACACUGCCCUCCAUGGUUUUUUCAGUCUUCCUCUCUCAUUACUUGUGCUCAAUACUUUUGAAUUUUUUUUUUUUGUAAAUUACACUUAAUAAUGAUUACAACAUUUGAAAAACUUAAAAAACCUUUUAUGCUUUUGCCCUUUUUUUCCCCCUUAGAUUCACUAGUUGGCACCUGGAACUUCACGGUCCAGUCAUUCCUUUGUGUUUUGGCCAAAUUAUUAAUAACCUCCCUAUGGUUUAGUGUAUUACCAGAUGACCUCCUUAAUUUUAUAAAUUAUUUAGCUAAUCCCCUAAUUGUUUCAUAUGACACGAAAAUGUGAUAGAAAGUAGUCUCGAUACCUUCAUUAGUUGAAAUUCCAAUAUUAUCUAUACUUAAGUACAACAUAGAAUGUUCAAAAGCAUAGAGGAUUAAGUGGAUAUUUAUUCAAAUUAUAGAGGAGUAAAUAGGUAUCAUAGUUUUAUUAAAUGUAUUGUUGAAACACGUCUAGGUCAAUUGUAGUAAUUACUUUGCGUCCAUUUUCCCUUGUACACAAAACCACAGGAAGCUUGUGGGCAUUUUAAAUUGUUGGGGGUUCAUGUGGCAAUAUGCAAAACAUAGGGGGAUUAGUAUUAAUUUAAGAAAAAUCGUUCAAAAUUUUCUUUACAUUUCACCUAAAUGAAUUUUUUAGCCCUUCACUCUUAAAAUAUUAACUUUAUAUUCCUUACAAAUUCAAUUUAGCAGAAUUUGGUCACAAUCUAAGUUUUCAAUCAUUUUUUUAUCUCGUGAUCACUAUGUGACCCACGUGUAGUCAUCUGGUAUGUACUAAAAAAGCCAUAUCCUACUUUUUAAUGGAAAAAAUAAAUAUACAUUAGAUUUCACUUUUUUUUUUUGAAAAAAAAUGAAUAUAGUUUGGGUUAGAUUCUACUUUUUGAAGGACAAAAAUGAAUAUGAAUUGGGUUAUUUAUUUAAUUACAAAUGGGAUCUAACCUUUUCAUUUUGUUUCUAAAAAAUGGACCAUGUAUUAGUCAUGUGACAGAUAUAGAGUAAAAAGUGGUCGAAAACCUAAAUUGGGACCGAAUUUUACCGAUACACUUCGCUUCGCUUUGCCCAUUACUCACUUUCUUGCAUGACUUUACCGUCAAACAAAUAGAGCCUGUAUGUUCCAGUUGGUCCAACUGAUCAUUGGCUAAGUUUCUAGCCAAAUGUGUCGUUUCAUUUGAAGUCCUCUCAAGGCAUGCUUGCUGUCUUCAGUGCUGGCGGAAUGUCAUUCCAGAGGAAGAGGUUCAUCAAUCUGAAUUUUAUUGCCAUUUUGUCCUUUUCUUCUUGAUUGUCUAUUUGUCAUUUGGAUGAACUGUUAGAAGAUAUUGUACUUAUUGCUCUAAGUUUCCUGUCUGUGCUUAACCUCUGCACCAAAGAUGCUGGCUGGUAGAGAAUGCGCCCUAUUGUCUGUGAUUCAGAGCCAUCUAGUUGCAUUUACCACUCAUUUGGGGGAGAAUGGAUUGAUGCAUUGUUUUAGCCUCUAAUCAGGACAUCCUCAUACCUCCCAGCACGUCUGGAUAGAUUUAUCAUUACUUUCGAGUUGGCAAAAUAAAUUUAUGCAACCAAGUUAUAUCAAUCUGUUAUUAUUUUAGGUCAGGGACCAUUCUGCUAGAAAAGCAGAGAAUAUGAAGUCUAACAAGUUGCUUAAAUCCGAUUUUCUCUAGAUAUGAUGCCCAAAUAAUUGUUUUACCUUUGUCCCUAUGAACUUAAUAAUUGAGUUGACCUAUUGUUCUCCUACUCUUACCAUACUAUACAGACAUUUGUCAGUUAUGUUGGCUUUCAAUAGCAAAAGAAACUUGAUAAUCUAUUUGCAUUACCCAAAAGGAGGUUCUACAAGGAAGUGUAAAAAAUUUAAUCAAAAGAAUUCAAGCCAGUAGGAUACUCAUGGUAUCUAUUACUUGGGUUCCACUUUAGCUGAGAUGUUGUAUCCACCACUGUAGUCAAAUGCAUCACUGCUGUUAACAUCCUUCCUAGGCAUCACAUCAUAGAGAUGUUUAGCACCUUUCGCCAUUCCAAAAUCUGUGGCAGAUGAGGAUGCUGAUGUUGAGUUCGUAUUCAAUCCAUCAUUCUGUAGAAUUGUUUCGAGUUCCUUCACCACUUCACUCAUUGUUGGGCGGUCUGCAGCUGAUUCUUCCACACAUCGCAUUGCCAAAUCUACAAAUCUUCCGAAGCCUAUUAGAGUGGUUGUGUUUCGAAUGGAUGGAUCCAUUAUAUUCCCUAAACCAUAGCAUUCUUCAUCAUUCUUGUCCAUUGCCAUUCUCACUUCACGGACGAUGUACUUUCCCUUUUCGAUAGGUUGCUUAGCUGUUACCAGCUCAAGCAUGACCACACCAAAGCUAUACACAUCACUUUUCUCCGUCAAUUGUUGGGUCAUGUAGUAUUCAGGAUCCAGAUAACCCUGGAAUCAGAGAAAAGGUUACUGUUAAUUGCUCGCGAUGGCUGUAGAAAGGACUUUUGAUGAUGUAUCUAAACAUGGACUUGGGAGUUCUUUCAGGAUAAGGUGGCUGUAAAAACAUCAAAUAUUACCAGUGUGCCUUUAACUUGAGUGGAUACAUGCCCUUUGGAACCAUCACAAACAAGCUUAGACAAGCCAAAAUCUGCAACCUUAGCUGUCAGAUUUUCGUCCAAGAGAAUAUUUGUGGACUUGAUAUCUCUGUGGAUUAUAGGAGGGUUGGCAAGCUCAUGCAAAUAAGUCAAUCCUCUAGCUGAACCAAGUGCAACUCGAAGUCUCCUUUUCCAAUCUAGAUAAAUUCCGCUCUUCCCUGAAAACAUUUAUAAUGUGAAUGAAUUGCAUCAAAUUCUGCAAGCUGCCUUAGUUGGGCAUGUCUGAGAUAAAAGGUUUUCCUAGUGGUUAUUUCCUGAUAUUGAGAUCAAAUUCUCAAAGAUCCCUGAUUUGCGUAUUAACGAUUGUUGCCAAUAGUAACUAAGUCAAAUUCUUUCUGUUUAAAAUUAGUACCCAAUUUUUCAAUUGGGCCAGGCACAUUGACAUAAUAAAAGUUCUCAGCAUACAGUACUGAUUCCGAAGAUGAAAGAAUCUCCAAAAUCUCUAAGUCCCUGAUCUUUUUCUCAUGAUAAAAUGCCACCAAGCAUAAGGAACAUGUAUAAUUAGUAAAGAUACUACAACUGUCAUGAAGUAUCAGCUAUGAAAUGCUGCUUUGCUGACACUCUGGCUUCUAAUAAGCUAAAAAGAUGAUCUUUCGGAAUAUAUGUUUUAAGCAUGGAUUUAGUUUGGGAGGAAGGUGCAGAGAUGUUGAGGCAUGCAAUUGAGUGAUUAGAUUUUAUAAAAUCCUGAUCAAAUAUCCAAGAAUGAAAAGAAAAAUAGUGAAUUUUAAAUGAAUGAUUGAAUGCUAGUGAUAAUGCCCCAUUCAACAUAGUCUGGUUCAAAGGCAGGCAGGCAGGCAUUGAACAACAAAAACCUUUGGUUGUUAUCUUCUAAAUCUUGUAUUUGUGUCCUCAAGGAAAAAUUCAGACUCAGUAUUCUUCCUGUGUAGGCAUUAUCUAGUGUAUGGCAUGAAAGCAUACAUGCCUGAUAAACUCUCCCUUAGAGUUCCAUGCGGCAUAAACUCGUAUAUCAAGAUCUGUUGUCCUUGUUCAAAACAGAAUCCAACCAAGCCAACAAGGUUUUUGUGAUGAACUCGUGAGAGAAGCUCAAUCUCAGUUUUGAAUUCAAGUCCACCUUGCAUGGAACCUUGUUGUGAUCGUUUGAUUGCUACAACUUGUCCGCUUGGAAGCAUCCCUCUGUAGACCUAAGAACCCAGAAAUACAAUUGAGUUGAAAUUGAGGAGAUUCAAAAUCGAAAUAUUUGACAGCAUACCUUGCCAUAGCCUCCAGAACCGAUCUCAUUUUUCUCAGAGAAGUUAUUGGUUGAUUUCUUCAGUUCAUCAUAAGAAAACCAUCGGGCUCCUUUUAGUUGAGGUGCUCCUCCGCUGUCUUUUCCACUUGGACCCCAAGAUGCUGGUCAAAAAAUGUUUCAGUUAUAGCACAUUCACAAAAGUAACAAGGAGUACUGAGCUGUAGUGCAUAGGUCAUACCAAAUGGUUUACUUAAUCCAAUGGCCCUUUCAGCCCGUCUUUUUUGCCAGACAGCAUAUAUGCCUAGGCCAACAAGCAACACCACCAGAAUGGCACAGCCAGCAGCUAUCGCUGUAAUAAUUGUUUUGCUUAUGGCAUUUCCACGUUCAGCUGCAACAGCUCUGUUGUCAGUAGUUUGUUCAUUUAUAAGUCAGAAAACUAAGGAAAGUUAACAGAAAUUAUUAGCCUUUUAUACCGCCGAAAGUGUAAGGAGAAGCUAUAAAGUAGUAGGGCCCAAAUUGUUUUGGAGGCUUGUAAGUCUGGUUACUUAAAGCAAAUCCGAUCCUCUGGACCUCUGACCUGUUAAAAUACUCUCCUACGGAUGGAAAAAAUCCCAAAUGCACCUGAAGAUAAUCAUCAACAUUGAAGAAAGGGUUCUGCAGAGAAACAGAACCAGGAGUAAGGCUUAACUUCACCCACAGGCUCAUUUCCAGCUGCUGAAAUAGAGUGUCAUUAGACAACUCCCUGAAGGAUGGUGCUCUGAAGUACAUUGUUCCCUCAUAUGGAUAAGCACAGUUACAGCUCUGUGGGCUGAUUUUUUUAUCAGCAGGACAGGAUUUGCUUGCACAAUUAGCCAGGCUUGUAGAAUAGGGCUUUUCUGCUUGUUGCUUAACCUGACAGUAACUGGUCUUUGCAAGACCCGCAUCACAGACUGGGUUUCCUAGCAAUCUUUGUUUACAUCGAUGACAGAUAUUAACAUUAGUUGGAGAAAAGGAUUGAAAAUUGUUUCUUGGCAUAAAAAGUAGUAGAUAUAAUAUUGUCUCACAUAAGUGUAUUCUGAUAACCAGAACCAAGAGUGACAUAGGGUAUUUCAUUGUUCUCCAAAUCAACAAGUUGAAGUUGCUGACCGAUGGUUUUGCCCAUAUCCAGUGUAUCGUUAAAUGCAUUGUUUCUCAGUUUCCUGUAAAAAGUUGACAUGAAAUGAAUCAGCAAAACCGGAUUACCUUUACCUUUUAAAAGUUACAAAAGAAUGCUUUUAGUGUCCUGUGCAUGCUGAUUCAAACUUACACUUGUUGAAUUUGGGGUAAACUGAAUAGUUUCUGAGGCACCAUUCCCUCAAGUGACCCAUAUUCAACAACCCUGACACAAUUGCAACUUUGAAGCAUAAGAUAGAUCCAUGACUAGAAUAAUUUAUCGUUAAGCUUCUCAUUAGUAUCUUAACACUACUCACAAAGUUGUAAGUGACUCUAAUGUACUGAACCAGGCUGGAGAUUGUGAUUGUUGAAAAGAGUUGUUACUCAAGUCCCUGUGAAGGUAAACAAAAGCAUAGAGUUCACCUUCCAAACAGAAAACAGGUACAUAAAAUUUGAUUGUGGAAAUUCUUGAACCAUCACUUACACAUAGUUGAGGGAAAUCAUUUCCGUAAUGUUUGGAAAUGGACCUGAUAACUGAUUAUGUGCUAAGUUCCUAGACGAAAACAGAAGUAAGAAAGAAAGCAUUUUAGUUUAGUAUCCAAUGGCAAGAUUGAAGAAAGCACAAUAUUUCUUCAAAUUUCUAGAAGAACCUACAAUUCCACCAAAUUUGUGAGAUUGUUGAGGUCUGAUGGGACUUUGCCAAUCAGGGCAUUCCGAUCUAGCCUCCUGUACUCCAUUAUAGCAUUCACACCAGAAACGGUAAGAAUGACAGGCCAACAAAACUAAGAAAACUAAGUCAAUCUAAGAGCGAGAUCGAAUGAAAUGGUUUGAGCAUACUCACAGAACCUCAAGUGUCUGAACAUAUCCUAUAGUUGAGGGGAUUCCUCCAGUCAAAUUGUUGGCAUCAAACAGUCUGUCAUAAGAACGGAAAAUAAGAAGAAGAAGAAGAAGGAAAAGAGACAUAAAGGAGACCUUCAUAUUGAUUGUAUGGCAACUUACACAUGAAUAAGCACCAUGUCGGAGCUGAAAAGUGCAUUUGGAAUUGGGCCAGAAAGCUGGUUUUUGUUGAAAUGGCUGUUGAGCUAUAAAUAUCAGACUCUUACCCCUGGAGGAAAUUGGUGAGGAUAACUGUUUACAAAAAAGAAUCACACUCACAAGUGUUUUGCCUUUUUUAACAGGUCCAACCCUGGAGUUUCAGUCAUAGAUGAUGAAACAGGUAUUGGUCCUGUCAACUGAUUAUCUGCCAGAUCAAGCCAGUAUAAGUGGGAAAGCUUUCCUAGCGAAGGUGGUAUUCCACCAGUGAAGUUAUUUGAGUUAAGCGCCCUAUCAUGGAAGAUGAAGCAGAAAAUUAAUUGAGAUUAACAAAUCUUCGUACAAGCCAUGUAGAAUGAAUAUAACGAUGUCUACUGUUACUUACAGGAAGGACAACUGUGCAAGAUUCCCAAGUUCACUUGGUACAUUUCCAUUGAAGCUACAUCCAGCUAGGAUCCUGAGAAACAAAAGGCAAGAAUCUUGGUUAAACAAAGAAAAUUUCUUCAUGAAUGUGUUCCUGGAAAGAGUUUCCAGGGAUCAAAAUUCAAUGUAGGAUUUUGUCAGAUAAUUACAGUAUACUCAAAUUUUGCAAGUCUCCUAUUCGUGGAGAGAGUGAACCGGUGAGGCCUCGGUUGAAUGAUAGAUCCCUGAAACAAUACUUUGAACGUGAAUUCAAUGAAAGCAAAGUUAUAAACUUUUAUUACUUAUGUGCUUGACCAGCUGAAAUAGCAAUAGAAACUCACAGGGAUAUCAAUUCGGUGAGUCCUCCAAUGUCACCGUUGAGUUUACCUGAUAAUCCCAUACUUGAUAAUCCCCUGAAGUAUCAAUUCAUACAGGCAUGGAUUUUUUAGGGUAUCAAGCUACAUGAAAGAAAAUGCCACAAUGAAUUUGCAAUGGCCUGAAAGAGUAGAUGAACUACUUACAAUGCAGUGACUCUUGAGUUGUUGCAGGAGACUCCUUCCCAAGGAGCUCCGCAAGGAUCAUCAGACUUGCCCCAAUUUGGUGGUGUAUUUUGCCAUUGAUCUUUCAAAGACCUAAGAACAGCAACUGCAAGAAUUUGUAUCCAAUUAAGAUCAAAAGGACUUUACAAGCAUUGAAACCACAUAACCAAAGAAUAUAUGGUACAUUCAAGAAACUCCAUUACUAGCAAGAGUUAACAGGCUGCCAAAAAUGGAUCUGUUUAGGCCGAUUGAUUUUCUCAGUGGCUAAAGCCUGGGGAACCACUAUGGCUACUUGGUAUAAAUUGAGAACAAGAUAUUAUGAAGCAAUAAUUAACUUAGUUUCUUUACACUCAUGCUACACGGGAAAAAUAUUGGCAAAAAAUCAAGUCAUAGAAAACUUGAAACUCUAUUACACAUAUUACUAGAGCGGAAAAAAAAAGGUUUCUGGAGCAGGAAAAGUGAAAAGAUAAGGCUCCUAUGUUUUCCUCUCUUUUCUCUUUUUUGGCAGAACUUCAUGAUGUUGUGGCCUUGUAGUUCCUUCAUCCAUUGGUUUGGUCACCAUCAGCUUAAUCUCCUUGUGAAAUUAAUCCAGAGACAGCUGUAUACAUAAUCGUAGAAUCCAGAGUUGAUCCAUUAGUCCCAACAGACAUUAAUUAGAACUUAAGGUCAAACUUUUCCUCAACUUUAUAUCUCAUAGUACACUAUACUACACAUGCCAGAAGGACAAUAGAAGCAAAAAUAAAGGGCAUUUGAGGAGAGUUUUGAGAACACAUCUAUUCCACAAUAUAAACAAAGAACUUUUUUAUCCUUAUGCCCUAAAUGACAAUUAGUUUUUAGGUUUUCACCUCAAAUUCUCGCUAAAUUAACCUCAUUUCCUUUGACACCUAUACUGCAGCUAAUGAUGUCCCACCCCAAUGUUUUAAGAAGGCCUAGCACCUUCAUAAUGAAUUGUAUAAAGAAUGAAAGGCAGGCCUAAUAUAAUGAUUAAGGAACAUGAUUUCUCUUUCCCUACACCCCAACUCACCAUUUUUCUUGAUCCAAUCUAAGAAAUGGAAAGCAUAGAAUAUAUAUGCAGCUAAUAACUCCUCCCUGACUUUCCCUUUCUCACUUUCCAAAGCUGAAUAAAACUCUCUUUCCAUACAUAUAGACCAUAAUUCAACAUAUCAUGCUGUCAUGUGCUUGAAAGACCAUGGCAGAUUUGAAGCUCGAAAACUUCUUAUACAACUCAGCUAAAUGAAUUUUCCUGCCCAAACAUAGAUUUCAAAAAAAAAAAAAAGUGUCUUAUAAAUUUUACUAAAAGAGUAUCCUUGACAUUAUUAUAGCUCAAUUCAAUGUUAAAUUGUAAAAUCUACAAAUGACAUAUUGUUCACGAAGAAUGAAUGGGGCAAGUCCACUCUUUACACCUAGAAAAAUAUAGCAUUUGGAUGCAGAGUGCAUUAAAAAAAAAAAAAAUCAAUCCAACCAAAGGGACAAUCUGAUACUAUCAAAUUGGAUAAGAAAUGCCUCCAUUCCUACGCUGAUAAAUUUGGAAAAGCAUGCAACAUGAGACAAGUAUAGUACAUUACCAUCACGAGGAUCCGUGUAAGAGAAGAUGCCACGAAAUCUUGCAGACAUCACAAGAUAAAAGAGAAGCAGCCAAAGGGCUGCCAUUGCUGCACUCCCUCCUUCAAUUCCCUCCAAAGUAUCUAUUCUUCAGCUAAUUCACCCCCGACUUCAAUCCUCAUUAACUCGAUUUCAUGCAGAACAUGCCUUUAGGAAAAUGCUGGAAAUGAGCAAAAGUUCUUUGUUUUCUUUGAUCUGCUCUCUCUUUGGGGAAGCAGUACUAGUAUUCUUGUAUUCUUGUGGAUGUUUGGUUGUUUCUUGACAACUAUGCUAAAGAUUUUUACUAGCUGCCGGCCUAGAGUGUUUAAACAAACUUUUUCUUCAGGUAGGGUGAAAGGUGAAGGUGACAACAAUGAUGAUGACUAAGUCCAAGAAAUAUCAGCUCAAAAAGGGUAAAAGAAAAUGUUAGCUAGCUAGUUUGGCCUGCUUUUCCAUUUUCCACUCUUUCAAUCAUUAAACCUUUUCUUAGAAGCCAAUCUUAGUGUCUAUCAUCCCCGCACUCUCCACUACUACGACAGACACUAUCAACAACAAAGUCACAACUGCUCCAAAUUUAUCUUUUUCAUCAAAAUCCAUCAUUUUGUUCCCAUCCUCUUGAGGGUCCACAACCAUUAUUGUUCAUAAUUCGUGGAAGCAAUUAACUAAUAAGAGUGGCUUGGUUAAUUAAUGGGAUUUUGAUGGAUUUGAGAUGGAAAAUCUCACGCAGUAUUAAUGUAUUCUCCGCCUGCAUGCGCACCCUUGUCAAGAAGAACAAAGAUAAUGGUCUAAAAUUAGACGGAUUAUGUGACCAAAUUAAACAGCUUCCUAGAGGAACAUUCUGCAGCCGUCUUGCACUAUUUUAAUUAGUAAAUGGGAUUUGCAUGUUUUCUCUAGAAAAUAUAUACUGGCAGUCUGGCGUGCAAUUGUUCUUGGAACCUACCAAAAUGCAAUGGAAUUGGCCCGGUUUGCCUUGAUUGCUUGUACUUUUUGAAAUUCUCAAACAUGAUUUGAUUGCAAUAGUGAGUUGUAAUUUGUUGAAAUUUUCAAUUUUUACGUGUCAUUUUUGACAGAAAGAUCAUGAUUAAUUGUUAGAAUAUUUUCUUCUUGAUCAUUUUCACAAUACCUGCAGGUAUCAGUGUGAGAAAGUGAUGAUCUACGAGCAACGAGGUUAUAAUAAUGCCUAAUACAUAUGAUACGUAUGUUUGGAUAUUAGAACAAGUACUAUUAAAAUACCGUAGCUCUUAUUGUACCUCAAAAUUUAGUGAACAUUUGCAUAAAUUGUUGUUUCUAUACAUUGAGUUUUUUUUUUUUUUUUUGACGAACCCUGUACACAGAGGAAGGAUGUCACCCCUAAUUUAUUGAAGACAGCAAAAUAAAUAAACUAUGGAGGAGGACUAUAUCUGAUCUCCAGUAUAUGCAGAAAAGCCAGUAAAUGAGAAGUACUACUUCCUUACAAGACGACAAUAUGGUAGUCCUUUCGAAUCUAACAUAAUAAUAUCUCUACACUGCUUAGGUAAAUCUGCCAUAGACAAAUACAGUUGAUAACCAGUCAAAUGAAGAGAAGCUAAUGAAUCGGCUGCAGCAUUAGCCUCUAGAUAAAUAUAGGACAAUGAAGCUCCAAAUCUGGCCAACAAGUCCAUACAUUGAGUUGAUGUGGACGCAUAAAAUAUACUUCUAAUUAUAUCUAAAUUAUGUAAAAAAAAAAAAAGAUUGGAAUUGAUCUGUGAAAUCUAACCAUUAUUAAAGAAUGUUGGAUGGGAGAAUAUUCUAAAUCAAACAAAGAAAGUCCCCCAAAAGUAAAAAAGAAAUCAAUUUGCAGUUUGACUGCCUAAAGGAAAGGAGGAAAAAGCUGGGAAGGUAGCAGGAUUUAUGGUUUAUUAAUUUUUCAUUAUUGGAAUUAAGUAUACGGUUUAUUAGAAACAUCAACAAAGGAAGACAAACAUUAUUGACCAAUUUUGAGAGCUUUGAAUUGCUAAUGACUGGUUGACUACUAUGUCACAUGAAUUUUCUAAUUUCUGUGGGGCAUUUGGGCCAUUCACAUCUAAAAAAUUCUCAAGGAUGUUAAUAGCAAUCUCCACUUAUUCUGUUGAAUUAUUAGAAAUUUACCUAAUUCUUACGUGAAAAAAAAUUCUACCUAAUUCUUAAAUGUGAAAUAACAAGGUAAUACUAGUUUUGGUCCUUUUGGAAAAAGUAAUUCAGGCUAAACUAAUUAAAUUGCAUGUGAUGAUAUAGUUCAAAUGGAGAUGGGGAAUUUUUUUUUAAAAAAAAAAUGAACAAAGUAUUGAAAUUUUUGCUGCUUCAAGGACAAAGUAAAUUAUUUGAAACUCAGAAAUCUAGUUGAGUGACGGAAAAUAUAAUAACUAAAAUUAUGCAGUAACUAUCUACAGAUGAUACCCAAAAAAGGGAGCCAAACAUAUGUUUAGCCAAGUAUGGAUUUCUUUGAACUCCUGGAUAAAAUAUGAGGAAAUGUAUUCUGUAGAUAAUAUAACUUCUGGAAUCAAGAAGGGAUAGUUUUGAGCAUAUUUCUUAGUUUAGAAGAUAAAAUUCCACCACUCAAUUGUGUGUCAUUGUAGUGCUAUAUGGGGCCAACGCAUUAUGGAAUUGAAAAUGUGGUACAGUUGAAGAAGUAUAGAUUAAUAAUGACAAAAAGUACAUAAAAAUGAAAUUGUCUAAUUUACACUGAUAGUAUAUAUACUGUUAGCAUUUGAUGAAUAAUAACUAUAAAAAAUUUGAAUUUGAAAUUCAACCGUUAAAAAUAUGUCGUGGAUCCAACGGUGAUAAUGUAUACACUGUCAGUUACUCAUUGUUUAAAGAAUUUAGAUAUAAAGUAUAACAUAAUUCAUGCAUGUAUACAUUAUUAACAUUUUUAAUUUUUUGUACACAUCCAACUUGGGUAUGUGUAGAAUUUUCCCAUAAUUAACUUCGCUGUAACAGGAUCCAUCUUUUAUUCAGAUUUGGAUAAUGUUUGAGAGGCCACCACCAGCUUGAUUCAAUAGGAAAACGUUAAAUAGAACAAAAACUAAAAUGACCAAAUCAGACUGUUAAACUCAUAAUUGUCCAUUUUUUUUCAGUGGGAGGUCUCGAACUACAAGGAUCUGAAUACAAGGAGUCAAUAAAUGCAAGCAUUUGUAUUUCACAGUUUGGCAUGUAAGUAAUUGUAUUUAAUAGUUCGGCUAACGGGUGUUCGAUUAGCACUUGUCAAGAAGAGUCUCACGCGUUAGUUUUUUUAGAAGAGUAUAGUUUAUUUGAGAAAAUGUCUAACUGCAGAGGACACAAUGAUUGUGGUUAUUCGCAUGUUAAGUUAGGUGUAAUUUAAGUAUGAUAAGGAUGGCAAUCCGUUAGAAAAAUCCUAAAUUUAGAUAGCAAUUCAGCUUUUACAAAUUGGUGCCCUGUUCUAAAUUAUGCAAGUUAAUAAUCAAAAUCAUUAGCUAAUCUAAUGAGAACAUCUUGAGUAAAUUAUUCAGUAAAGUCCUUAGCCGAUCUAAUGGCAACAUGCCCAAUGAUGAAAACUUGGAUUGAAGUUUACUCAUUUAAAUGUAAAUUGUGGCCUAAUACAUGCUUAGAUAACAACUAAGAGACAACAGCAGACUUAGAUAGAAAACUGAUUUUUGACCAAUUCAAAGCCAAAAGUCUUCAAGAAAGAUCAAAGAUGUAGAACGCAUCCGGACUACAAUCUAGUACAACCGAAUAUACAAUCACCAACUUCAAAAAGUAGCAAUAUGUCUUUUACUGUAGCAAAGAUGCUUGUGGCAACUGGCAUGAAAUCAACCAGUAGCUGGGUGCUGAAAUUUUCUUUUCUGACAAGUAUCAUUUUGGUGGGUUGAUGAACAGUCCACAAAGAUGUUUGCUUAUGUUUGUCACUACACAGAUAACUGCAUUUGUGGACUAAAUUUGCUAAGGUUCUUGAAGUUUUAUUUCUCUGGGGCAAUAUUACAGAAAAACUUGCAGAAACUUUUGCUCCAACCAUCGUUGAGUGUAACUUGCUUUUCAGUUGAUUUAGAAACAUCUACUGGUCAUUGCUUGUAUAGAACCUUUGAGUUAAAUAUUUGUCUUCAAUUAAAAUAGCAAAAGAAAAAGUGAUGAUCCUACAUCUUUCAUCAAUGUCUGCAUGGAGGACAUCAAGGGGAAGGAAAAUCGUUUCAAUUAUCAUUACAUAACUCCUGUGAGCUGCUAAGUCAAUUAUCAUUACAUACACAUUUCGUUGAAGAUUGUUGAGAGAAGGAUGUUGAUUAUUUUCCUUGUAAUGCUCAGACAAGAUCAAUUUAAAUGGGAAAAUUACGCGCAGAGAGGAACCAUAAUCUAAGAACUACAACUGUCACUUAUAGCUGAUGUUCUUCAUUUUCUCUUGUUUAAAACUAGCAUUUUUGGCACUAUCUACGUGUGCAGAUAUCUUUAGAAUGGUCAUAUUCAUUACUAGAAGCUUGAAAAGGGUGACCGUACUGAAGGUCGUUUAAAAUCUGAACAUAAGAACAAUAUGUUUGACAUAUGAUAAGAUGACAGAAACUUUUAACGCCAAGAGUAGGUUCCUGUAUAGAUAAUCGAGUUUACACUGUUACAUGUAAUAAUUAUACGUAUUCCAAACUGACUAUAACAAUUCUUAUAUAAAUUGUUAAUGAAUUGCAUCGCCAAUAUAGUGUACCCUACAGGUUGAGGCAAAGAAAUUGUGUAUGGGGAACUCAGGAUUACCAGUUGAUUUCUGACUGUUUUUGGAACAAUACCACGAUAAGUUCUUGCUCUUCAGAACAACCAAUGCUUCCUCUUCGGUUUAUGCUGUACUGGAGCAUCUGUGCAAUGGAAAACAAUUUCUCAGUUUAUUGAUUAUCACACAUCUAAUCAUGAUUAAUCAGAACUGAAAUCAUGCAAACCUCGCAGUUCAUAAAGUGAAUUGUAGUGCACCUCAGACCAAAAGCUUAACCAGAGCUCUGCACCAUUCAAAGAAAAAAGAGUAUCUUAAUAAUAUAGACAUAGUGCAGCACACAUUUGUAGUUCCUUGCUCACACACUUGGAAACACAAUCCUAACAUUUAGGGGAACAGCAGGUUAUUCCUAGAACCUCGAACCAGUAUGAAAUCCGUAUCCCUUAUAUAAUGAAAGUUUGAUUUCUCAUCUCUAGUAAUUUCCUCUAGACAAAUCACAUAAACUUUCAAAUUAACAUUUGACACAGCACAAGUUUAAGCUUGAAUAAUUUCUUUAAUUCCUCAAACCAUAUUGAACAAACGUGUGCAAAUGACAAGGGGCAAAAAGAGUUGCCAGCUAUGGAGAAUGAUAUUUCCACCCAUAGUAGUAAACUGACUUGAUGAAAAUUUGUUGGUAGUUGAGUUACCAAUGAGGAUGUUGACUGAAGAGAAAAAUGGUGAAAACUCCUGCACCAUUUGUCUCCUUAGUCAAUGCAACAAUUUUCUGUAUCUAACUAGCUUAACAAGUUUCGAGCUAAACAUGACUUUGACAUUCAAAUAGGAAAAGUUUACAACUUCGUUUUUUUGCCCCACAUUGACUAUGCCCUUGAUUUUUACUUUGUUGCAUCUGCUAAAGAGAUGACCAAAAGUAAAUUUAAAAGAUCAACUUGGCAAAUUUUCAAAAACUUAGAAGAUUUGUUCGUUUAGGGCUUAAUGGCUCGCGUGAAAUUGCUUGGAAUUUCAGGGGCUUUGUUAGAGAUUUUCCUAUUUCACCUGCUUCUAUAUUCUUAGCUUCUUUUGAUGAAAAGAGAAAAAGGAUCCCGUAACUUAAGCGGAUGAAUUGCAGCAGUGACAUUGAAACAUGACCAACUGAUUUUGAUGAAAGGAAAUGUUGCAUGAGGAACUUCUGACACUAGAAAGAAGGGUCACAAUCAUGUAAUGAAGUCAUGGGAUUCGAUUGGCUUCUUUAUUGGCACCAUGCCUGAGAUAAACAAGAAAGGAAAUGCAAUACCUCGCUUAGGCGCUUGAUAUUGUGGAAUAAUCUCGAUAAAGCAAGUAUCUCUAAACGAUGUCAAAAGGCAUAUCUUUGCUGCAAACUGCACGAAUGAAGCAUUGUCAAUGACCUUGCACAAACAACAAUAGGAUAUGAUCAGGUAUCAAUUUUCAAGUCAAAUAACACAUUAACCAAAAAGGGACACUACCACAUAGAAAUGAAACUAAAGAUGAGCAGGACUCAGAAAGAGACUCUUGCAAAAUUAAUCAACAGUCUCUGGAAAAAGUAAUUCUCCAAUGGCCAUAAGGUAUUGUCCUAGUCAUGAUCAGUUACUAAAAGGAAGCACCCAGGAUUAUUCAAUCAAAAAGAGUGUGCUCCUAAUGCUGUUCUAUGGGUCCGCCAAAGUGUGCAGGCACAUCCCUUUGUGACGAGGAGAAGAAAGAUUUUUAUACAUUUAGCGUUGUUCUUGGGUUGAUGUCAUACUUCGUGUCAGGUGGAGAAGUUGAUUAACUGCAGGAUGAUGAUAAAAUUUGUAAACAACAGUUUGAUCUGUUGCACUAAAACCUUCUUAUAAAUUAGUAAGAAUCCUUAAGGUGCCAUGAACUAUUUAUAUGCCCGUAGAUUCCAGUAGAUUUUCUCCCUAGUAAAAAUGCCUGCUACACAAAAAAUAUUCUCAGAACCCUUUGAGACCUAAAAGCUGGCUCAAUUUCAGUCAUCUUUAUUUGAACCACAGAAAAUUAGGUCCAGGUUAUAGGUUGUUAACCUGAACUUAGCACUAGGUGCAGAGUAAGUCAAGUAGGAUAUCAUUCCUGUAAAAGAUUCUUCUUUUGACAUUGAAAUUAAGCUUCAAUUAAAUUCAGUACUCCACGAUAUACAGGCAUCAACAGGCCAGAUUGAAUAACUGUGCAACAUCAGAAGAGUUCUAGGAAUAAAUGAAAAAGACACUAGCCAGUUGGAAACCAGCUAAAAAAUGUACUCAACAUAUUUAUAAGCUUUCAACAUAAUUAACAUCAAACUACUACUACUAACUUUUGCAAUUUCCCUUUUACAACAUCCAGAGGUAAUCAUUUUGGUUUUCUUCGGGAGUUACCACAAUUUUUCCAUCUAACAGUACAAUACUUAAAAUAUGAUUUAAAACAUGAUCCUUCAAAAGCGCAAUCACCUAUGAAACUUGCUAUUCACUUCAACUUUGACAGAAAUAAUUCUCUUGGUUUAGCUUCCUUUCAAACUUAGCAAGAUUAAAGGGCAGAAAUCACUAAGCAUAUCUAUCUUGCUGCAUCAACUUUCCUUUCCAAACUUUUCCAAUGGGGAAAUCUUAAACAAAGCUCUCAAGUGUUUUAGGCUUGAAAUGAGGUACAUCUGCCACAGAUAACACCUUCUUGAGACCAGUUCAUUUUAAUUCUUCUAUUAGACUACCAGGAACCCCACCAAUUACUGCUUAAAAUUAUACUUCACUUGGUUCACAUUUUAAGGACUGAGAUAUUCUACUUUCUUUAUUUGAGAAAAAAGAUGCACAAUGUCAUCUUCCCUUCAGAGAUAAGGUUAUUCUAACCUUGCCUAUUUUCACCAGCUUUGGAAAUGGUAUAAGACUCUACAAUGUUCAUUAUACCUAUAAUGUCUGAGACCUUCAAAAGCCUCAAAAUUGAAUCCCACCUCUUAACAAAAUACCACUAAUCGUUCACAAGUAUUGCCUUUUUUCAUUGGAGAUUUAAAAAAAAAAAAAAAAAAUUGGUUUUAAUAGUCACCCAUAAGCAUAGAGGAUGACUUCAAAUAUCUGAGACAAAACCAUAUCUUCUUCUCCCCUUCACCAAAACUCAUCUAACUCAGUCUGCUCUCCUAACCUUUGGACGAUGCUAAUAACCAUCACAGCACUAGCAGUAUUUAAUUUGUAACCACUGCUGGCUUUCAAUUUGCCAGUCCUCGCAUCCCAAAAAAUCCAACUGCCUUUCUUUUUACUGCAUAAUUGCUGCAGAAUUCGAAGAGAUGUUUGCUGAAUAUGCUUCUGCAGACUAGCACCAUCAAAGGGUAUCAAAUUUUACAACAAUUGUCAUCUUCUUCUUGAAGAGCCAGAAAAUUCACCACAGCAGCAGGAAGGAGGGUUGAAGGAUGGAGACACAAAAAACCAGACUUCCUUUGUACUUGCAAGGGAUUGUUAGUACAAAAAACUGAACCACUGAAUUUACUUUGUUUUUGCAAAUGGAAGAACAAGUGAAAGGGAAGAAGAAAUAGGAAGAAGAACACCAUUUGGACAAUGGUUAUUGACUUCCUGGAAAUCGAAUUCUGUAUUUUUGGAAGUCCAUUACAAGUAACAAUUUUUAUUAAAUUUUCAAUAAAAAGGCAAUAUUUGAGUAAAUAAUCCAAGGUGGCAGUUGUAUAAUUUGGACAUACAAUCAAUGCCUAUUUAUAAAUGAAGGUAACAUUGGGUGGAAAGUCAAUAAAAGUACUAAACACCAUUUCAGCAAAAAAAUCUGUCCCUCAUUGGCAGGGGAAGGAAACAUACAUCCUUACAUAAAAAAAAAAAUAAAAAAAUAAAAAUCCUGGAAGAACAAAUAUAACAACAUAAAAAGAUGAUUGCAAGUGCUUUAAAAAAAAAAAAAAAGAAGUAUAUUCUAAAUCCGGGAGGAGAAUAACCAUUAUCAUUACCUUCCAACACACAACACUUUGAACUUUUUGCACGGCUUUUUUCUUUGAUUUCUUGAAUUUUAGGUUAAGAAAAUUAUACUGCAGCAUUCUUAUUUAACAAUUUGCCGAUUUAUUACCAAGACACACAAGGAUGCAUUUUCUGUGUUGGAAAAACUGACCAGAGAGGAAGGGGGGGGGGCAAGAAAAACAAGGAUGUUUGAAGAAUAAUAGACCUUAUCGGCUGCUGCUUGUAGUGUAACAUGGUCCCCCCACUCACCUGAUCUGCAAAUACAGAAAAUCAGACCCAGAAUUAGAAGCAGACUACAAAGGAAUAUAUAAAGCAUACAACUGCAUCUUUGAACAAUUUAGGGUAUCGAAUUGGAGGCAUAAUUAUUCACAAAUGAGUAUCCUACUUAGCCAUUUUCUUCCGAUAACGCUUGUACUUCAUUGGAACGUAACCUUCAUAUAAAUUAGGGUAGUCCUUCAGCUGAAAUAGAUAAAGAUUUGAUGGCAUGAAAAAGUUAAAAUUGGGAAUUCCAAUAACUACAGGUAGAGUUGAUAGCAUUGGAUCCAGUGCAAACAGAUCUUCUUAAUGCAAUUGUGUCCAAGGCAUUUAGAGAAUUAACUUCUCAGGCAAAAAAGUUGCUAACGGAGGGGUGAUUGAAAAAACAAUCAUUUGAUGAACGUUGCAGAAGGCACUGCCAGCAGCUCAUUCCGCUGGAGCAGAUAGAAGGCCAUAAAUGUAAUAGUCAUACUGAAGAAAGUAUACUGUGUACCUACAGAAUGUAAAACUCAUAUAGGCUUGUAGUAGAGAUAUGUUACACGGAGAUGGUCAAAAUGUCACAAGAAAUCUAGGCUGGAAAUGUGCAAGUGCUAGCUGAAAAUUUAGUGGAUGGAUUGCUUGAUCAAAGGACCCUUGACAACAUGACAAAUAUUUUCUUUUUCGAAUAACAGAUACUAAAAUACCAUUUAAUUUGUCAUGAAAUAAGCAUUCAACCUUCCAAGUGUAAUUUCUAAACCAAUAAAAAUUAAACUGGCUAGCAUCAUCAAUCAACAGACUAACAAGGAAAAUGGCUGAUCAAGAUAAGAGACAUUACACUUGAAAAAAGGUGACAGAUAGUAUAAGAUCUUUCACAUAAAAGAUGUAACAAACACAAGUAAUCAACAUUGUAUAGACACCAAAACAUCAAAAUUAAGCAGCAAAAUAAGGUCAUGCCCUAUUUUGUAUAAUUAUAUUUGACUCCAUGAGACUGCUUACCCAUCUACAAAAGAGAGCAUCAAAACCACAAACAUAAUUCCUGGACAUAAUUAUUGACCAAAUAUAUAAUAGAUUAUAGUUAAUCUAUUCGGCAUAACACCUAACUCAAGUCUCAGUAUCGCAGAAGCUGCCCUAGCACAAACCUGUUUCACAACCUCCUUCCUGACAUGCCUAUGAUGCUCUGGGGACCUAUAAAGCUGGUCUGAAAGAGCUCGGAACUGAAGAAAAGGACAAAUAUAAAUGAACAGAUGAAUGGCAUCAGGAUCUUAAAGGCAACAAGAAAUUAGCAAACCUGACAAUUGCCAUCUCCUGAGACCUUGACUUCAUAUAAACCAUAAACAUUUAGCCUGAAAGAAGAUCAAAGAAGGAAAACAUUCACCAGCUUAUCCCAGCUGAAGAGUUAAAGGAGUAGAAGAGAAGGCUGCAUCUUUUCCUUUUCCUGGUAAGCAAGUUAUAGCCUUGGUACCUAUUGAUAAUUAAUUAUUUUCAACAAUAUCAAAAGGUAAUAGCAUGAUCUUAUUUAAACUCUUUCUCUCUAUUCUGUUACAGACAGAGGCAAGCAUAUACACAAAGAGACAUUGGUUGGUCAGGAUGUGGAGCAGAUGGAGCACCUUGAUGGCUGUAACCGCAGAGAGUAUUUUCUGGUAAAGUUUAGUAAGCUUUUCAAAGUACAGAGGAAAUUUUUCCCACUCUAUCAUAGAAAAUGGUACUAAGUUCUGUCGACAAAGCCCUAGCAACUGCCCCUGGUUUCAGUUAUCAUGGACAGAGCAAGCAUUGCAGCCGAGGGUGAUGAGAUACACCUUUCUUCAUGCAGCUAAAGCGAUCCAAUGUGGUACGCAUGAAAGAAGCUAGUUGUGUCUUCUCAACUUUACAUAGUCCAACAUCAUAUCUUCUUUCUGUUUUAUCUAACAAGCCAUAAUUUCUAGAAAUACAAUCUUAAGUCCCUUCCCUCAAGACAAUCAAGUAGAUAGAAGAUGGGAAAAAAAUAUAAUCCAGAGUAACCUCAAAUCAUACAAUUCAACUAUAUAUGAUUCCAUUGCUCCAGUAUUUAAAAAGAUUAUGCAAGAAAGUAUUUAGUCUGCAGAACAGGGCAUGGAAGAACAAAUAAGCUACUCUUCCUAGAGGCGAAAAGGGGAAAAAGAUAGUAAAUUUGCCUAGUAUAAGAUUUAAAGGCAUUAUUGAAUAUAAUUUCAUAAAGAACAACAAAAAUAGGUGGGACUGAUUCCCACUAUAAUGUCUUAAGGCUGCAUUUUGAUUAUUAAGCAGAACAGUUAAUUGAUCAAGGAUAAACUUGGGAAAUCCGCAAACUAGUAGAGGGAGCUACGCAAUCAAAUUUAGAAGGCUUUGAUUUUUUUUCUUUUUCUGAGGGACUCAACCUAGUCAAUAUCUUCUGAACAUCUUUAGGAAUGAUUUACCUUAGCCUCCUCUGGAAUUUAAUUCUAAUUAUAGAACCUGCACAAUCUUAUUUCGAUUAUAAUAGUAAACAUUCAAGUUUCAUUUCAGUUUCUACACCUUUCUUGCCAAGACAAUUUCAAAGCUUGGUUGAUGAGUAGAUGGGAAGUAACUAAGUAUUGUUCUACUCAAAAGAAUGUAAGCUUAUAGAGGUUGGUUGAUCAUCCUACAGAACCAAUACAACUUAAAUAUUUAGCUCAGCCUUUAAGACAGAUUUCUUAUACGCAGACUCGAAGUAAGGGUAAGCUCAUGCAUUACUCUUAACAGACUAUAGCAAUGUUAUUGUCGUACACUGGGCUUUAUCUAGAUUGCUGACCUCAUACAAAUAUGAAACCUGGUUAAUCUCUAUAGCCAUCCAAAAUCAAGAUCUCAUUUUCUUCAGUAAAGAGAUUACUUCUAAGAAAACAAAUCUGUGCAUGCAAUAGUAUAGAACCACUAUACACCCGUGCCAAAUUUUAUGUCAGUUUUUCUUUUUCAGAUUGCUCCAAUAUAAAGUUCACCUUCAUCAAAUGAAAAGUCUCUCUCUUCAGACACGCAGUAAAAGAAGUUGGAAACUCAUGAGAUUCAUUAAAUUUUAUUUUUUAGCCUUUACAAAACAUAAGAGGCAAUGUCAGCAGAGUUAGAAAGUUCUAGUAUAAUGUCAACCAAAACCACACAAGGGGGUCACAUAACUUUAAAAAAGUUACAGGGCAUCUGAAGGCAUUACUCUUUAAGCGGAGAAACUAGGUAGUAUAUCAAGCACAUCAAUUGAUCAGAAUAAAGUAAUCUUAUUGUUAGAAGGCCUAACAUCUGCCCAAGUGUUCUAGCGUCAAAUGUUCUUUUGACUGUCAUUCUCCAAAUACACAACAGUUCAUAGCAUCUUUCUUACUCGAAAUUGCAAAAGACUAAAAAUCCUCAAAUAGUACAAUCCAACUCUCUGACUUUAAUUCACAAAUAUCCAGCUAGAAAUGGCCUCUUCCUUCUUUGUCCCAGAAGGCAAAAAUCCCUUUGUUCUACAUGGCAUUUAUAAGAAUCCCUUUGUUCUAUUUUAUAUGAUAUACAUGUUACUCCGGAUGUAAAACAUUUGGCGCUGACCCUAGAAGGAAAUAUCUUACAAAUUUUUAAGCACGCAGAUAGUAGUUGGUGAUGUUGGGCUGAUCAUAUUCCAAUUUCCUAUCUUCACAAUUAACCUAAAUUACACAUGGUUAAUGUUUUCCCCAUUUUAUCAUAGAGUUGCCAAUAUCAUUCAACACACAGAGCUGAUUCAAAAGCUACCAUAUAAAAUGAGAUGGAAAGAGGCUGCUAUUUACAAGAGUUCACUUCUUGGCCAAUUUUACAAAUCAAGAAAUGUUUCUGAACUGUAUACUCCUUGUGGCAAUAGUAUGAUAGAUAAGAAGAGAUCACAAGUGAUAAAAGAUAGUAAAACUCAAUAGAACAGUUUUAUAUGAAGUUUUUCAUCAUAUUUUUUACAGUUUCCCUACUAAUGAAGAGAGCAAGACACACAGACAGACAGAUGGCCUGUGUCUCUGCAUGUGUGCGUGAGAGAGAGAGAGAGACUGCAAUGAAUCUGUAGACUAACCUCUGAAAUAACCGCUGGUAAUCCAAACUAGCAUCACUCGAGUCCGGGAUGUAAGAAUUUAUUUUUGGAACAUGCUGUGAUUCCAAACAAAAAUUGGAAUGAAAUUAGAACAUCCAAAAAUUUGUAACAGUAUUUUGUUCACUUCUUCAAUGUUUUCAUAGUUUUUGAAAGAAUGUAGGUUUCCCCUACUACAGCAUGGCGUCAAAGUAAAUUAUUGCAGAGUUUUUUUCCCAGAAUAAUAUACAGAGAGACAAAAACAACUAUGUUUAGACAAUAACCAAAUUGUAAUGUAGGACUAUGUAUGUCUUACAGGAAUAGGUGCUAGAUGGGAAACCCUUUGACCAACUGCCCCAUCUAAUUUAGCAUACUCCUCAGAGAGCACCAUGGCAAUCAUCUUAUCAUCCUCUAUGUCUUGUUGACUGCUGGAUGAAGUUGAAGUAGAACAUUCACCAAGGCUUGCAUUCCCAUUUGUCAUAGUUUGUUUAUCAAAAACUUUCAGCUUCCUCGAGCAGUUGACAACAAAGAGCUUAUAGCUUCCUCAAAUCAAUCAACACAGAACUUUAUAUACUCUAAUCUGCAAGCAAAAGAAAAUUUGGUACAUUUACUCCGUCAGACAGGAUAUCCAAAACUCAAAACUCCCAGCACAUUUUUAGUUUUUUAACCUAUGAUUUAGGAAUGCAAGAACAAAAUCAAUAGGAAAUUCAAAAUAUACCAACGGUGCAACUAAUAUAGGUGCCUAAGACUAAACUGGAGUGCUAAGAAUGGACAGUUCAUAAUUGAAAGUAAGAACUUCCAACCAAGAGAUGCAAGUGAAAAUGGAGGAAACUCUCUCACCAAAUUGACAAAUAACACCAUAUAUGACCAUAUGAGUGCUCUAUAUGCAAGCCAACCAUUUGUAAGAACAGAUUCUCGGAAUUCUCAGCUAAAAGAAUGCAGGGAAAAUAAGGUUAACCCUCUUGCUAAACUCACAAAUAACACCAUAAAUGAGUAGAAUUGAUGCUCAAUUUAUAAGUCAACCUUUUGAUCCGUGAAAACACGUUUGACAAUGAAAGCUAUUGAGGUAGGUAAGCGUGUUCAACUAUUUAGGAAAAUCAAGCAUUGGAAUGAUUCCAAUUUCCAAGCAUCUAUUUCUGGAAAUUAAAAAUACUUUUUUUCAUCCAAUGUUUGAUUAAUCGUAUUUCCCUGCAAAAUCCAACAUUCACUCAAGAUCCAAAACUUCUAAUUGAUUCAUUCUCACGGAAACUGUCGGCAGAAUAAAAAGACGAUCUUUUUCAACAGAUUAUUGGGACAUUCCUGGUCAGACAGUUAAAUGGCAUUUGAUGACACGAAAAGGGUUCGAUUCAUUCACAGGUUUCAAUCCAAUCACAUAAUCAAAGACCCAAAAUUUUGAAGAAAACAGAAAGCAUCACAACAUUAGCAGCAGGAAUCAUUCAGCUUUACCUUGAGGCUUGAAGAUGGAUGACAGUUUCAGCAGCUUUCUGGUGGGAGAAUGAAGGAAUGAAGGAAGAAACUUUCGAGAUUCCGAGUUGUGGACCUGGCAAGAAAUGGAGUGUGGGGAGUUUCGGCUUGCAACUAACGCGGCAAAUCUUGGAGUGUGAGCCAAUGGAAGUUUGGAACCUUGAGCAGUUGAUCAAACAGGUGACACGGAACCGAACAAAAUCCUAAUUUUUGGCAGAUAUUUUGAAUUUUUAAAUUGUCCAAAAUUGCACUCAACCUCUCUUGUCAACGUGUACAUUUUUCUCUCGCUUGUCUCUUUCCUUCUUUUCCUUUUCUUUUUUGAUAAGAAAUGGAUUUAUUUGAGGGCAAAUUACACUAAAACCCCUUGGAUUAGUGUGAAUAACCUGUUUGGCAAAUGAAUUUUUUUAUCAAUUUUUUCGCUUACAACUUUUUAACAACUUUAAUUACAGUAAUUUCAAAAACUCCUUAAAAUUUUUAAAAUACACACUUUACAAUACCUAGAAACACACUAAAAUAAAAAAAUAAAUUCUUCUUUCUAUUCUUCUACUUUCUCCUCCCAUCUCAACUCACCACUCCACCACCGACUAACAUUGAUGCCAGCCGCCAGUCACCUUUUUUUAAAAAAUUUUUUCUUUGCUUUCUCCCCUCUCCCUCCUUCUCCUCCCUGCCUCUCCUCUCCUCUCCUCUCCCCUCCCCCUCACUCCACUCUCACCCACCACUUCCUCCCCUCGUCUUCCUCCCCCUGCAACCCUCCCUAUCUCCCAUGCACGAUCUGGGAGUGUUAGGGUUUGUCAAGGUUUCAAUCUUUCGGACAUAAUAAUAUACGAGCCAUAUUCUUGCAUCAUAUUUUCACUAGUGAUAUACCAGAAAAACAAAACCAGACACUCUUAACAGGUUAAUAAUGUCUUCCUCAAUUGAUCAGAAAGUAAUGAAGUAAGGGAAAAAAGAAAAAAAAAGAAAAAAGAAAGGGACUCUAUGGUGAUGCAUCUUUAUACAGUGUGAGCUCAGGUGGUAACAGUUACCCACCCGGAUGCUGCAAGUAGCUCAGCUCAUAUCAUAACAGUCAUCCACCCAGUGGCGGUAAGUAGCUACAGUGGCGGAGUGGUAUUUCUGAGAAAAGGGGUGACAACACAAGACAAAAGGGUCGCAGUGGGCUGAGGGGAACCACUUGCAAAAUGAGAGAUUAAUCCAAUCCACAGGUGAUUAGGGGCACCUUCAACCGCAGUAUUGAAAUAGAUGGCUGAGAUCGAGCAGAGCACCUCCUACCCGAUCUACAACCGCCCAUAACACAGUGCAGUCCCAUACCAAGGACUUGAGCAGUCAGGCUAGCAAGUAUUUCUGGAGGCUUCCAGGUAGCCUAGAGAUUCUUGAAAUUACUUGCAAGGUGUAAAGAACAACCUAGACACCUAACAGUUAAUUAGGGGGGUACACAAUAAAUGGCAAUAACCAUAAACAACAGAUUCAAAAACAAAAAUGACAGUCAACUGCAUGAUAUCUUAACAGUUUUGUGUCAAUUGGCAUAUAUUGCUAAUCAACUCAAAAAUAUUACACCCAUUUGGAUCACCAAAUCCAAUAACUAUAGCGACCAAUGAAGAAUAACAUGUUGGAGAGAGAAAAUUUUGCAAGCUAGAAAGCACCCCAAAAUUGCAGGCCACUCAGAUUCAAUGGCGAUCAUUACUCGUUAUCGGAGUAAUUAAACUUUACUGAGUGUGAUUGCAAGUCAAUCUGCCCUCCUCUAUAGCUACCACGCUUCUUCUUGGUCUUUUCAUGCCGGAAGCCCCUGAAAGAAAGAGAGAGAGAGAGAGAGAGAGAGACAGUUUGUUCUGGUUAAGCUGCCACCAAAAUACAAACAAUGAUGUAUACGUAAAAGGCAGCUACUUCCAAACUGCAUGUGCAAAGGGCCCAGCCAUGUUAACUCAAGAAUGACAGGUUUUACUCCUAUUGUACGGAAGCAUACAAUAUUAAAUCAUGACUAAGCAACUGUGAAGAAAAAUACUCAGUUGAGGCCUUUAGAUCUCUGCCACAGGUUCCUCUUUCAACAAUUUGCUCAAUGUACUAACUAUCAUAAGAAUUGCUAAGAUGUGAAAAAUGACCUUUAGAACCAAAAACUGGUCCAAAAGGCAGAAUGGUGUUCAAACAUAAUACAUUCCAAACUUUAAAUUCCAACAAUAUGACGGAAAGCCCAAGAUCCCAAUUAUAUUAGCAAAUGGGCGAACUUUAAGAAAGAAGCUCUCUUAACACUUGCAUGGUUCCACUUGAUGCCCACUUAUAGGUCUUUCUAUUCAUUGUAUAUCUUCUGCAAUGCUGCAUUAUAACCCUAAAACUAAAAGUUAUGACCCAUUUUCAUCUUUAACAAUACAACUUAGGCAGGUUAUCCAUUCACCUUCAAUUCAUUUUUUCCUUAGACGAAUUUUUGUGAAUUUAAUUAUGUGGAGACUUAUUGUUAUUCUAAAUUUCUUUCUGUAUUUAUCAGCAGAGUUCCACCUCAUAUCUAUUUAUUCACCAGAAAGAGUCUUUUCCCUGUGAUAGGAACCAAUUUACAAACAAGGAAGCAAAAAAUCGUUUGACCAUGAAGCACAAUUCGAUGAUAAGAAAUUAGAAUACAGACCUUCCUUUCACCUGGCCCAGGACUUCUUGUGCUUUUGCACCAUAACCAAUUUCUGCACCACUCUACCCAAAAAAAAAAGAAACAAAAAAAUCUUGAGGGCAAGAAAAGUGUAAAAGCACACUAUUAUUUUUUCUGCUUCCAGGAUUGGAAAAUGGAAGCUGUAAAAUAUAAAAGUCCUCAAACCUUUGCCCAAUAAGAAUUAUCCUGAAGCCUCUCAUCAGCAAACUCCACUGCAUCGACUUUCACCCUUUGAAAAGCAUUCACUGUUUUAGGCUGCAGUAAUGGUGACAGGUUUAGGUUGUCUUGAAUGAUUAGCCCAAUUAGUGAAACAUGCAGACGGGAUACUGGAAAAAGGUAAAACGACUGCAUUGAGCAGUACGUUUUCUAGAAGACAAUGUACAUAGAAGAGACACGCACAAACGUCCACACAAUUACACCCACACACACACACACACACAGAGCCCAGGGUAAAAGCUGCCUAUUAAGUGCUGCCAUUGGUGUUUUUACAUGGCCAAAAGAUCAGGUAAAUAAUAAACAGUAUGCAUACCUCAGCAGAUCCAUUGCGCUGUUUCCUAGCAGAUUUCUGCGCAGCAGAUCUCUCACCACCAUUUUUCUUGAGAACCCCCUCUGUGUUUACAUUGAACUGUUUCUGUGGCUCACUAACAUCGCCAUUCUCCUUUUCCGUUUCUCCACCAACAUGACCAUCACCUCCAAGAACUGAAUUGACUUCACCUUGCUUCACAACAACCUCAGCUUCUUCUAUGCCUUCAGUUUUUCUCCUUUUGGAUUCUUCAAUUGCUGCUCCUUCAACAGGCUUAUCCUUAUUUUCAUCAGAAGCAGAUCUUUUUCUCUUCUUUGACUCCUUGUUGGCAACAUUAUCUGAUGUCUCCUGUGAAUUUCCUUUGUUUUCCACACCAGUAUCAGAUACAUCCUUUUUCUUUCUCUUCUUUUCUUUCAGUUUCAGUUUACUAUCAUCCAAUGGGACAUCUACAGUGUCCGUGUCUGUGUUCCUGAUAACUGCACUUUCUGCUCCCUUGCCAUCAUCAACAAGAGAAACCAUCCUUAGCUUCUGCUUCUUCAACUUAUCCUUAGGUUUAGUUGUCUCUGAAGAGUCUUUAUUGCCAUUGGCACUGAUAAUUUCUAAACUUUCUGGUUUUCCUUCAAUGACCUUAGGCAAUGAGUCUUCUUGUUUUCCAUUAUCAUCAAGUGAUUCAGAUGUUAACUUAUUUUUCUUCUUCUUCUUCUUCUUGUCUAUCGGCUCCUUCAUGAACUCAUCCGCCUUCACCUCAGAAAUAACAGAUUUGGCAUCGUCGUUUUCUUCAGUACUCUUUUUUUUCUUCUUCUUACUAGCAGUUUCUACAGGAGCAUCUUUGUCCAUCGUCCCAUCAGCACCUUGUUCUGCACAAAGUCCUAGGAUAAGCACAAACCAAUACAUUGACCUGCUAAGCUUAAUAGUACUUGAAACAGGAAAUCAGAUUUGACACAAGGGAGGAAGGCAGGAACAAUAGUAUCAUUAAGUUCUGUUUUGUCAAAUACCUUGCUCCUUUUGGCCUUUGAAAUCUGUAUCAGCACUUCUACUGCACGUCAGAGAAGCUCAACUAGCAUGAGAAACAGAAGCUGAAGCUAUGUGCAAAAUGUGAAUCGGACAAUAUUAAAUCUCCAUGCAUGGAAACCUAUUAUAAAAAUAUACAUUUUUGAAAGAUGGAACCAAAAAAUGUCUACGUCAUACAUCUGUGAAAAUCAUUUUUCCUAUCAAUAGGUGUUGGUCACAUUGGCCAAAAUGGAAAAAGCAUUCCCAUGGUAAGGUAUUAUCAUAUUUAGCAAGCAUGAUCUUUUGGAUGGGAAGCUUUUCAUAAAAUAGAGACUCCUCAUUAGCAAACUCGUCAUCAAUCCAUUACCUGCAAUCUCAUUCAAGCCUUGGGAAGGUAAGCAAGCACUAAGUAAAAAAUUUUCAGCUAAUAAACAGGCUUAGGACUGAAUAUCACAUAUUUUAACAGCCGUUUUAUUCUUGUCACACUUCGGCAUUUUGAUGUUGAUUCCUCAUUUUGAGACACCACAACCACCAGGUUACUUGGACACAGAUCCACAUUUUAUGACAUAAGCAACUGCUUUAAACAUCAAGAUAGAUCAUUUUGAGAUGAAUAUUUUUACUCUUAAAGCAAAUAUGGUUUCUGCGAUGAAAGAUUUAAAUCUACAACUGUCAAAUAUACUGAGAUCCUAACACCAUCAAAUUACAAAACAAAUGACCAAUCCAAUAUCUCCCCUAUUUACAAGUAGUUUAUGCCUGCGAUGUUAAAAAAAAUGAAGGGAAAAAAAAGACUGCUGAGAGAUAAUUAAGUCAGAUCACUAAGUGGAUAAUAGAAGUGCCACAUGCAAGUUGACCGUGACUUUUCAACUUUUGAUGUCUAAAAAAUCUUCCUCAUCUAUCAUAUGAUGCAUGAAAAUUGCCAGUGGGGAGGCCACUGUGUUACGUAAGCAGUCUAAUCAAAGGGUCUAAAAGGGGUUGCUCCCACUGCUUAUAGUCUAAUACCCUUAUUAUCAAACAUAGUAAUAUGCUUCUGUUUACCUUUGCUAUUGAUAACUAGCAUAUCAAAGUUCUCUGACAUGGAAAAAUUCUUGCUACCAACUCUAAUGGCAGAAUUUUCUGACUACAUUCCUGAUUUAACAAGCUUACUUUUUAUUCAUUUUUUUGUUUUCUUUAAUAAAUUAGGUGGGCAGAAUAAGUCAAGAAAACUCUGCCAAAAAAUUUCAAACUGCAUUUCUAGAGCAACAAUAAAACUCUGCUAAAACACAGCAAAAAAGUCAAAAUUCAAAAAAACAAAAUUUUCAUUGUCACAUUUCAAGCCUACCAGUUAUCUAAAUAUUUGCAGUACAUCUCCUCCAAGUCAAAUGAAUCUGCCUUCCAAGAAUCAUCCUGCAGUAAAAUCAUGAUUAACUGUUACAGUCUGGCCAUUUAAAACAUUAAUACAAAAGUUACUGAAUCUGAAUUCAGAAGGCAGAAUUCCAUCUUACAUUAGGACAUAAGCAAAAAUGCAUGCAUCACUACUCUGCUGAUAAAGCACUAAACUUUUUCACAGCCCAAUGUUCAGGCAGUCAAUUUAUCAUACAAUUAAAACAAACAUCCAAUAAGUAAAGGUUUACAGCCUUAAAAAAACAUCAUUUAUAUAAAAUUACUACAGUUAACAUUUUUUAGAAACACCCAAAAAGCAACCAUCCAAACAGAGCCCUAAAAUUUGAAAAUAGAAUUUUUGUUUAAAGAUCAAAUGGUAGUGCAAUGCCAAUAACCAAUAUCCGUAGAGCCAAUAACGCCAUACCCUUCUGAAAAACGUCUACUAAAUCAAAGUAUACAGUCUUACACAACAACAUUGUACAUUCUGCUUCACCACAUCUAUAUCUUUCUCUACCAGAACGAUAAAUUUAUCUUUGCCUAUCUAAAUUUGGGCAUGCCUAUGGAUUUCAAUCGCAUAAAGUGUAGUGUAUUUUUCAAAAGCUUCAUAAUGAAGUAUCAAAUUACCUCAACUUGAGCUUCUUUCAAGAAGCGCUUAAACGUCUUGGCAAAACCCUUGUCAUGAAUAUACUGAAUGACAGAGUGAAGAAGAGCAAUCUUAGUUUCAGGCUGCUGCUGCUCCUCCUUAACUAGCGUUUUCGUCAUUGUCCGUCCUGUGCGCUUGAGCUUUCCCUUCUCCUUCUGCUGUGCAAGGAGAACCUGGCGAGGCUUGAAAGCAACAAUUCGUCUUGAAACUGAGCUAUUGCUCUCUUCUCCUCCUUGGAUCAUACACUGACAUUAUUAAUAUCAAAAAAAUCAAAAACUAAUUCUUUUUUCCAAAUUCAAUUCAAUUACCUCAAAUACAAAAAAAAAAGCAAAAAAAAAAAAAAAACAUGUACAAGCUAGGUGGUGGAUGAGAAAUUUCAAACUACACAUACAAACAGCAAAAAACAAAUGAGGUAGAAAAACAAAUAAAAAAGAAGAAAAUGUUAUCGAAAUCAAUCAUUAAUUCUUCCAAUUUUGCAGUAACCUGACAAAUUAUGCAAAUAAGAGUCAAUAACAACAACAAAAAUUAGAAAAAACAACAUCCCCAAGCCAUUGACUAGAAAUUUCAAUUAGUAUCUAAACAGCUUAAGCUAAAAUGGAAAAUUAAAAAAAAAAAAAAAAGGGAAAGGAGAAAAAGUUCUUACCAGCUGGGUUGUGAAGAACAGGAAGGCGGCAGGGAGGAGAAGGUGGAAGUUUCUGGAAGAUGAUAUUAUUUUUCUUUAGCAAUUAAUAGUACUGCUAAGCAGUAGAACUAGGGUACAAGGAAUUAGCGGAUAUGAUUAGGGUUUUUUAUUUUUCGGGUUCGGGUUAAGGAUGUGGGUUGGUUUGAAGAUGGAUAGUCACAAGACACAACAACAAUUAGGUUUAAUUACAUUUUCUACCCCUGAACUUGUAUAUAUGGGACAUGUUGUACUAGAGUUUUGUAUGCAAGUGAAAAUUGUCACAUUACAUUGUACAAUAAGGAAAUUUUAUGUGGGACAUUGAUUAGAACCCAUGAAAUUUUACCACCCUGAGAUUUACUAGGUUAAAAAAAGGAAAGCGAAAAAAAGGAAAUAAGGAGUAAGGCCAUCUUUUGAUAUUAUUCGUUUAAAAUCUAGUUGCAUAGUUUGUGUAUGACUAACUUUUUUUUUUUUUUUAUGUUUUAGAUAGUUAAUAAUCAAUUUGGUGAUAUAUACAGUCACUUCAAACAAUUUAUCUGACGAGAACUAGUAUUAGUACAAGAACUUGGAUGCUUGUCACUGUUUUGAGUAUUUGUCGGUUUAAUUGAUUAGAUCGAAAAAUGGUGUCGAGUUUCAUAUCAAAUCUAAAAUGUUAAAAGCAUCGGCUAAACUUGGUCAAGUGCUGGUUAAACCGGCUAAAAGUGAUAAAAAUAGGGUUAUUCCAUCACUCUCCAUUCUAGAAUGACCCAAAUUACUUAAUAUUAGAAUAUAUAAAAAUUUGAAGAAAAGAAUUUUGAUUCAAACAUUGAAACUCAUUAAACUAUAAAAAUCAAAAGCUCAACUAGUUCACUCACUGGUUCGAGUUUUAUAACAUUGAUGCAUGCACAAAGUUCAAUUUUAUCACUAAAAUCAUGUUUCCAAUUCAAAAUUUAUCCUUUACUAAUUCUAUAAAGAUUAGUGUGGUUUUAAACUAGAAAUUGGAUGUGAAAUAGUUUUGAACAAAAAAAUGAAGUCUUUACAAUGUUGACCGGAGAUCAUAAAUGAUUAAUGUACAAUCUAAAAUAGAGGUAUCUAUGUAUGAAAUUGUUCUGGGGGAAGUUAUGGUGAUAGUAAGAAAGUUAAUAGUAGUAAGAAGUCAUGCUUUUAUACGUGAGCUAUUGCUGGCUUUAAGUUUUUUUUUUAAAAAAAAAAAAAACCUUUGGAUUUUUAGCUACCUUUGCUGUUUCUAGCAAAUUUGCAAGCAAAUCUGGUUUGAGAUGAUGGACUAAUUCGGGAUCCUAAAAAAUUUUUUGAAAAAAAAGAAAUCAUUGAGAAAGGAAUUACAAAGAAAAUAACUCUUUCAUAUACGUCCAGCAUUAACGUGUUCGAGUCUCCGUUUCGCUGGAUUCCUCCGCGCACUUAACAUGUUCGGAUCGGGUUGGAACGUCGGACCCGGGUUGCAGGGGAUUAAUCGGGUCCCAUAAGAAUUGACCCGGACACCCCUGUAUCGAUAAAAAAAAAUAAUAAAAAAAAUAUACGUCCAGCAUUAAGCCACUAGUAGUAAGUAAGCGUCUUAAAGUGAUUCUCAAAUCCUGGAUAUCUUAGACAUACUUGAGCCACGUGUGCAGCUAUACAACGCCUUCCUACUUGGACAACUCAAAGGCGUGAUUGUUGGACACCGGUUGCCAUACGACUUUUUCUUUUUGGUCUCCAUAAUGUGCCAAUGGUGUAAUAAUAUGAGGGCCGGUUCAACUGUUAUCCUGCCCUCCAUGUUAAGAGAGAGUCCACUCUAAUUUUUUUUUUUUUGGUGGUUUCGUUAUAUAUAUAUUGUUAUUUAGUCUGUUUUAUUUUUUUUUAUUUUGUUUUUUGACCUCUUAGUAGUUAUUAGAACUUAAGAAAUAAAAUCAUUAAAUCAUAAGCUUAUGAAGGACACAUGACAAUGAAAUAAAAAGUGUCGCAAAGAGCAGAAGGGAAGCAGAAUAGAUGAUAAUGCAUGGCACACCAACUCAAAAUUAUCAAAGAAUUACAAAUUGAAAUCGACGGCCUUGUUUGGCACUUGAGCUUUUUGCCAAGUUUGUUUGCUACAAGUUUUUUAAAAACUUUAGUCACAGUUAGAGGUGUCAAAAUGGGUGACUUGGGCGGGUUUGGGUUGGGUAAAAUGGGUAAUGGGUAUAAGUGAGUCAACUCAUUUAUACCCAUUUAAUUAGAUGGGUAUAAAUGGGUAAGUCAAAAAAUGAAUUGGGUAACCCAAUUACCCAUUUAUAACUCAUUUAUUUUAACUUUUUGCAAACUCAUUUAAAUUCAUUUUUACAAACUAAGUUAUCAAUUUAUACCACUUUUUGUACUCAUCAUUAAUUUUAAAUAUUUACUUAUAAUGUUCAAUAAACUUAAUUACCAAUUUUUUUUCAUUUAUACUCUAUGUCACAAAAUUACCUAUUAUUUAAUAAUUGAAUAAUACGAAUAUAAAAAUUUGAAUUAAGUACUAUAAAAAUUAAUAUAAAAACUUAAUCCAAAAAUUUUGAACCCCUAACAUUUUUUUCAUAUAUAAAUUUAAAAUUUCAUUUUAUAAAGAUAAGAAAAUAGGCUAAAAUUUAUCAUAAAUUGAUAAUGCUAAAAAAUGAGUAAGUUAACAAACUAAGAAAAAAUAAAAUAAUAAGAUAAAACCAAUAAAUAAUAAUAAUAAUAAUGUUAACAUCAUGACAAAAUGAAAAAUUUGAAAAAAAAAAGGUAGGGGAAAAGAAGACACUUGGGGGGAAGAGAAUUUUAAAUGGGUUAAUUGGGUUUGAUGGGUUACCCAAUAAUACCCAUUUAUUAAAUGGGUAUUAUUGGGUAACUCAUUUAUACCCAUAUACAAAAAUUUAAGAUACCCAUACCCAUCUAUUCAUGGACGGGUAUAGGUAAAUCUAGUUAAGUGGGUUGAUUUGCCACCUCUAGUCACAGUAACCUUAAAAAACUUCUCAAAGUUUUUAAACUAUACACUUCAAAAUAUUCAAAAAUUUACACAUUUCAAAAAAUUUUUAUAAAACUUCUAUAGUAAAUUACAGUAAAAUUUUAGACAAACACCCAAAAAACUCACUUAUCAAACAGGGCCGAAGUUAUGUCAAACAGCUGACUUUAAAUCAAGCUGAUACUUGAGAGAAUAAGGAUUUCAUUAAAUUAUAGUUCAAACUUAUGAUGGUAUAUAUAUAUAUAUAUAUAUAAGGAUUUCAUUAAAUUAUAGUUCAAACUUAUGAUGGUAUAUAUAUAUAUAUAUAUAUAUAUAUAUAUAUAUAUAUAUAUAUAUAUAUAUAUAUGCUCUAAUGGCAGCUUCUAGGUUCUUGAGAGACUCCAUUUGCACAUGUUAAAUUUUGAGGCCAUCAAUUGAAUAGACAAAGCAUAUAAGCUUUGCAUGAUCCUUUUUUUUUUUUUUUUUUUUGUCGACAGAGUGGGUGUCCGGGUCAAGUCCGUAAAGGCGGCCCGACUAAUCCCACUCCGACCCGGCCCAGCGCCCCAACUUAGACCUAGCACGAUAACUGCACGGAGAAGCCGAUGUUGCUGCGGAGCUUCGACCCCAGGACCUGACGGUCCCGAGGAAGAGGCGCCAACCACCAGCCCAUUGACGUGAGGGCACUUUGCAUGAUCCUUAUAAUAAUAUGUUUUCAAAACAUUGGGAUACUCAUAAUUAUCUAGAAGUAUUAUAAGUAUUCCAACACGUCUUUUCCUUUACUUAGUCAGGUCAACUUUGUUGCUGGUAGCUUGUUUCUUUUCAUGGAUGCACAGUAGUGAUUGCAAAAAGAACAAUUCAUGGCAUAGGUAUAGAGAGUGAUUUAAAACUAGCUGAUUGAAAUUGAAUUCGUGAGCAUAAUUUUCAACAAACUACAAAGAUUGUUGUGUUUUUUGCAUAUUGAAAAUAUUGAUUAAGUUUAAAGUCUACGUUCAUCGUAUCAAGUUAUUGCCCUUGACAAUUGUAGAAAACCCUGGAUCUUUUCUUGAUCAGCACAUGCUACAAAAAAAGCCAAAGUGGUAGACAUCUGUGGAAAGAAGAACAACAACAACAAAAAGAAGAAGAAGAAGAAAAAAAGGUAUUGAUAGCUCUUGUCUUGCAUUUGCCAUCUCGCUACUAAUUAGCUCCAAUUUAAUAUUCCUUGGGGUUAUAUAGAUAUCAGUCAACACGUUUAAACUUAUCAGCAUAUAUUCUUGGUUUUAGCAUAUUUAAUUAAAGGCUCCAUUUAACGAGUGCUCAAUUCGUUAAAAUAUAUAUAUAUAUAUAUAUAUUUCAAAUGUCAUAUUUUUGAAAAUAAGGAAAAGUAAAUAAAUACAAAAAAAAGGUAGUUAAAAUUAAAUAGAAAAAAUAUAUAAAUGCAAGGGAGGUAAUAAUUGUAAUAUAUGCGUAUACAUGUUAAGUUAGGUAAAUUUUAGGUGUGUUAAUUAAACCCUUAAUUAAAUUUAUGUCCGAAAUGGUCAACUAUCACAUUUUUUUUUCCUUAAAUGCUCUCAUAUUCAAUUCGUUUAUACAUGAUAAUUCAAACUCCAUACCAUCUUUGUACGCCACCAAAUUGGUUUAGUUCCUCCCCAUAAAUACCUUGCAGGUAUAUAUAGGUUUAUAUUUAAGGAUGGCAACGGGGCGGGGUUGGGGCGGGGGACCCCUCCCCUGUCCCCUGCCCCGCUGCAUACAAAUUCCUCCCGGCCCAGGCCCCGUCCCCCCGCCCUGCUUUCCCCGCGGGUGCUCCCGUGGAGCUAAUAAAAAUUUGUUAUAUAAUUUUAUUAUAGUUAAAUUUUAGUAAAUAAUCAAGUAUUAAAAUAUCAACACAUCACCAAAUUAUUAUUCAUUGUAAUUUCACAAUUGAAACUUAUAAAAACAAUCAAACAAAAGUUAUUUGAAUACAAUCCAACAUGAUGAAAUAAAUACAACUAAAGUAGUCAAGUUUUCACUUUUAACACAAAUACAAUCACUAAUUCAUUAUUGUGCCCGUGCUUUUUUUUGAGAAAAAAUGUUAUUGUAUUAAGUAUAAUUAGGGAUUUAGUAUAAAUGUAUUAGUAAAUUUUGUAUAACCAAUUAAUAAUUUGCAUUAGUACGCAUAUAUAAUUAUUAGUAUAAUUGAUAAUAUCAAUUAUAUUACAUAUACUAAUAUACAUUAUAUAAUACAUAUAACUAAUAAUAUCAUUAUCAUAAGUUUGUAACUAAUUAAAUUAUAUAUUAUAUAUAUAAACAUAUACAUAUAUAAAUUUUUUAUAUAUUUAUUUUUUCAAAGCGGGUGACGGGGCGGGGGAUGGGGCAGGGUGGGCCACCCACCCUGCCACUCGCCCCCAUUGCCAUCCUUAUUUACAUUUGGUCCAUGCCUUUGCUUAUCAUCCAGACACAGCUACAUUAAUGAUGGCAUUUCUAUUUCUAAAUAAAAAGGCUGUUUGGAGUAUUCUCUGCUCCUGCACCUUCGUUUUCUGUCUUCUUCCCACAGCAUUUUGUUCUGGACGUUUGCAAAAGCUUGAUCUACCAGUUCCUGGUCCCGAGUCCUAUGCAUUCGAUUUGGCAGGUCAUGGACCUUACACAGGCGUUGCUGAUGGAAGAAUUCUCAAAUAUGAAGGACCAAUCCUUGGUUUCGUCGAGUAUGGAUACACGAAAAAGAACAGGCAAGAGUUGUCUUUCCUUGUACAUAAUGUUCGAUUUAGUCAUUAGAAAUAAAUAUCCUCAAAUUACUUAAUUGGUGCAUUUACUGUAUAACCACUAAUCUCGCUGCCUUCCCUUCCUAAUUCCUAUUUGGAACAGGUCCAAGCAAUUAUGUGAUAAUAUUGAUACAACAGACCUAGCAAAAAUUUGUGGGAGGCCACUUGGUAUAGGGUUUUACUACAAGACUGGAGAGCUCUACACAGCAGAUGCUGGUCUAGGCCUUGUAGUGGUUGGACCUGAAGGAGGUCCUGGAAAACAACUUGCCUCUGGUGCAGAGGGCGUGCCAUUUGGCUUGCCUGAUGGCCUUGAAGUUGAUCAAAAAACUGGAGUUAUAUUCUUUACGGAAGCAAGCUCCCGCUACAAUAUCAGGUUGACAAAAUAAUCUGUACUAUAGCUUGAUUUUAUUCGACAGAUACAGUUUGAGAUCGAAUGUUAAAUUCCUGAAUUGUUUACACAAAACAUAUGGCUUGUUUGCAGUCAAAUUUCACAAAUAAUUUCCACUAGAGACGCAUCAGGAAGGUUAUUGAAAUAUGAUCCACAAACGAAGAAAGUCACAGUAUUGCUCAGAAGUCUUGCAGGGCCAGCAGGGGUGGCAAUUAGCAGAGAUGGCUCGUAUCUUCUUGUGACAGAAUUUCUGAACCAAAGAGUCUUGAAGUAUUGGUUGAAGGGACCCCUUGCAAAUACAACACGAGUUCUGGUAAACCUGUCAGGAUCGCCAGAUAAGAUCAAGAGGAACUCUAGAGGCGAUUAUUGGAUUGGAUUGAAUGUUCAAAGCCAAGGGCCAAAUCCCACAACAAUAAUUCAAGGACAAAGGAUAAAUGGAAAAGGGCAUAUAUUGGAAACAAUAACCUUUAGCCCUGAUUUUAAUGCGUCAGUGAUCACAGAAGUUCAAGAAUACAAGGGUGCACUAUACUUAGGUUCUCUAUUUGUUGGAUAUGUAGGAGUAUACAGGAAAUUUCCGUUAACAUUGAUAUGAUGAUAGAUGAGAACUGAGAAUCAAUAAGCUGAUUACACAGGGCAGGGGUUGGAUCUUCUCGGACUACCAUUACAGUUAAACUAUCUAAUAAAUGUAAUGUCAAUUUUUGCCAUUAUUCUUUUGAAAAUCCAGAAAGUGUAGACAAGUAUGAAACCAUUUGAUUGCAUAUGUUACUUUUUUUUAAACCUUUUUUAUGUCCCUUUGGAGAAAAAUGGAGUAUGAAUGCAUGUUCAAGUUUCAAUUGCUGACUUUCUGUAUUGGGAAGCCAAUUCACCUACAUUUUACAUUGGGUUGGCAACAUAAUUAAUAUAAUACUACAUGGUACUCCCAAAGAGUGGUUGAUAUGGAUUAUUGUAAAGAAAGAACGAAAAGUAGUGGGAAAUAAGUCCUACACAUGGCAAAAAAGAAACUGUCUAUUUAACAGGCAUUCCAUGGGCACUCAUUAAAAUGUAUUUCAAGUAUUAGAUUUUUAGAAAUAUAAAAUUAAUGAGAAAAAACAUAUAAAUGAGAAAGGAUUAAUUAUUAGAAAAAGUAUAUAAAUAUAAAAAAAGUAAUAAUUAUUAGUGUGUGUAUAUACAUAGUAGAUUGGGUGGAAUGUAGGUGUGUUACCCAUUAGGAAAACCCAAAAAGGAAAUCCUACUCAUUCAAAUGGUAAAAACAUAGACAAGAUACACUUUUCUGGUAUUUGCAUACAUUUGUUAUUUUUAAUUCUCUUAUUUGGAUUUGUCACUUCCAGCCACUCAAUAUCUUUUAUUUUCUCAUGCAAUAGCUGGUCUAAUUAUGUGAAACAAAUCAGCUUUCACAAUAAAUCUAACCAGUAUUGUUAAGUUAUUUUGGUACAAUAUAGUCCCAAAGCAAACGGAUAAACCUCAUCAUCAUUCUCAUCCUCCUGUAGGACUUGCUUCUUAAAUUAUUCAUGACAAGUGGGACAUUAUCAUUCUAGUCAUGAAAGGUGUACUCGAUCGAGGGCUGAAGGUGAAUCUUCUGCCAUUUACACCUCCAAAGUAAGUUGGUUGUCAAAUGCUACAGGAUUGAUGAAUAACGCAACUACUGGUACAGGGAUUCCGGCCAUUAAUUUUUAGAACUGCAAUACCUCGGACUCCAACUUUUACCAGGUCUAAACUCCAAAGUAGAGGUAAAACAUUAAUUAUCAUUCAACUUGACUGACCAACACAGGUGAAGUGUCACCAUCCUUCUCGAAUUUAAUAUGGUGUUCACAUAUACCAACCGCUGUCUGAUUAACUUCGCCUAUUUCACUUGAGCAUUUUUGCCUUCUGAUCUCGGUCAGAGCAAAAGAUGGUAGUAGAAACUAUACUUGGUGUUGUUUCAACAAUCUUGAUGAAGCUAAUUCCACUUGCUGUCGAGCAGAUCUCUGUUGCUUGGGGUGUUUGUGAAGAUCUCCAAAACCUUUCUAAGAAGCUAGAGAUGAUUCAGGCUGCAAGCAGAUGACUAGCAAAGCUGUGCAGCAUUGGCCCAAAAAUCUUCAGACAGUAACACUUGAUGCUGACGCCGUGUUGGAUGAUUUUGGACAUGAAGUUCUUGGCCAUAAGAUUGAGAUUGGAAAGGGUGAUAAGGUGAGCAGUUCUUUUAUGUUUCGCUGAGCGAUGGCCAAGAAGAUAAAGAACAUUAUCUUUAGAGAAGACUUGCAAAGAAUCAAUUGAGAUUGGACUUCUGGGAGUGGAGCUAAUCAACAGGUCUCCCAAUAUAAAACAAGUAAGAUUGACCGAUCCCUUCGUAGAUGACUCAGAAAUUUUCGGAAGAAAAGAUGACAUUUAAAAGGAGGUAAGCAUGUUAGUUGAUCGGGACUAUAAUAAGGACCUUCCAGUCAUCUCCAUUGUGGGGAUGCCAGGCCAAGGAAAGACAACCCCGGCUCAACUGGUGUACAAAAAUGGUAAGGUGCUGAGGUGCUUUGAUGAACGAAUUUGCUUUGCGUAGCUGAUGAUUUUGAAGUGGAAAGGCUGUUGAAUGAGAUGCUGUAAUCUUUGAAGGGAACCAAACUUGAGACGACAAACAGGGAAGCAACAUUAAAGAGGCUUUAAAAGCAUUUAAAAGUGAGGCAACUUUUGGGUCAAGAUGGAUGCAAAGAAGGGAAGGAUGAGCCAAUCGAGAUGCAUCAUCGGUGCAGGUUUCUGGAGCCAAUUUGGCCAUGGAUUCAGCUGAGCUAAGACCGGAUUCUCAGCUGGAUUCAAGGCAGAGGUAAGUGUGGCUUAUAGACUGAAUCCAGUCCACAACUCAGCCUGCAAUCUGGCCAUGGAUUUGGAUCGGGCCUUUGCACAACUUUUAUUUUGUUUCAAUAUUUUUGGAUAUGUACACUCUAUUUCUAGAAUAAUUUUUUAUAGCUUAUAAACAGGCAUGGUUAGAAUUUUUCCUAUCACACUUUUGUCAACUUAUAUCAAACUUUAUUGGAGAUUUAUUGGUAGUGUUCAAUGGUUCAUCCUAAACUUGUAGGGACAAGUAUAGGAUCCUCUUCCCACCAUUCAAAUUAGUUUAGUAGAACUUUAACAUUUCAAUGAUUCAAAAUCCAAGCUCAUUACAUCCUCUUCGAUCCUCCCAAUUUCCAACGCUAGCUCUGAUAUCUUAUUUUCUUCAGUUUGGUACUUAUAAUUUUCUCUUGUCAGACAAGUACUUGUAGAAGUUUCAUAUGUACUGAUCAAGUUUAUUGGUUUUUGUAUAUCUGAUGAGUUGGACUAAAAAAAAUGAAAAUGUAUAGUUCUUAUUGAUGAAGGAAACAGUGUGUAUAACAUGGUCCUCAAUAUGAGUCCUUUGUUGGUUAUAGUUCUUUGUUUUAAGGUGGCUUGAGACUAAGGAUGACAAUAGAAGCGGGUGCCCGCAGGGGUAGAAAUGGGGCGGGGGGUGUGGAAACAUACCCCUGUCCCAUCCCCCGCCCCGUCCCGGGCAUACAAUGAAAAAUAUAUAUAUAUAUAUAUAUAUAUAUAUAAUAUAAUUCUAAAUUUUCUAAAGUUGCAUCAUUACUUACAAGUACAAUGCUAGUCAGUGUCAGCGGUCACCGCAACAACUGAAGAAAUUUCUUGGACUAUUGUUGAUUUGUUUCUAACGCCCCCCCCCAAAGACUAAGGUUGUGUUUGGAUUGCAUUUUUCAUCAUUUUUCAUGGAAAAAUUACUGCAGCGAUUUGAUAUAUGUGAGGGAAAAAGGUGAUAGGGAAAUGUGAUCACGGAAAACGACAAUAUUUUCCGACGAAAACAAGCAAUCCAAACAAGGCUUAAGCUAUCCAAUUCCAACCUGUUUUGCUCCUAAUCUUUUUUUUUAUUUCGAUCAAUUUCCUUCCUUCGCACUGAAUGUAACUUGACUUAUUAUGCUUUUAUUUCCAUCUUGACAGCUUUUUAAUCUUAUUUAACAUUGUUUACAAUUAUAUUAUUGUAAAUAAACAUUUAUGAUAAAUUAAUUGGGGCGGGGCGGGGGUGGGGGACGGGGGGAGUUAUUUGACAAUGGGACGGGGGGUGGGGGAAGGAUCCCCGCCCAAUUGGCACCCCUACUUGAGACUAUGAAUCUAUUGAUUAUUGAAUUUUUGCACAUAAACAACAAAACAAGUAGGAUAGGACCAUUUAUAGAUCUAGGCUUGCUUUCAUAUUAGUCAUUCAUUUAAGGGUUCCAUUAAUUUUUUUUUUAAGAAACUCAAACAUAGCUUUUAUAAAUCUAUUCUGCAGCCCUAAUUUACAGAUUUGAUAAGAUCAACAUAGAGUUCUCAUUUUUUGAGUUGGCCGGAACUUUCAAAAUUGAAUGCCUGCUUAUAUAUAUAUAUAUAUAUAUAUAUAUAUAUAUAUAUAUAUAUAUAUAUAUAUAUAUAUAUAUAUAUAUAUAUCAGAAUUUCAUUGAAAUCUGUAGUAAUGGCAGAAAUUAUAUCAUUAAACAUACAUAGAUAUCAAAGAACAGAUUUGAAUAAAGGAUGCUCCAGAUCUGAACAAUGAGGUAAAAUAAUUGUAACUCCAUGGACAUUUGUAUAUGCUUCCAAUCGUCAAAUCUGUUGAUUAACUGUUUCAAAUCCAGAUAUUAUGGUGAGUUUUGCCGAAUAGAUCCAAGAAAUUCCAGAUCUGAUAAUCAAAAUGUGAUUUGCGAUGAAUUUAGGCAAACAUGUAUAAAAACCAGAAAACGUGCCCAAUUCAUAUUAAACUUUCCUUUUGUUACAACUUACCGAAAGCAUUUUCUAUUAUGGUUGAAUUUCAUUACAAUUAUUACGGUUGAGCUAUUUAUUUCAUAAGGUAACAUACAAUUAUUGUGAUUAUAUUUGUAUAUUGAAUUGACGUACAUGAACAAAAUUCAUGCAUAUAAUAAAAUAUGAUAUACAGCAGAUCAUGUAAAAUUUAUAUUAACUGUUUAACUGUACUAAAAUGUCCGAAUCCAAAAAGAAAGCGCUUGACAAAUGAUGAAUAAAGAAAAGAGACGCUGUGAAACUCCAAAUUCCAAUUUCAUCAGAUCCUCGACCUCCAAAUUUCCAAUGGUUUCUUGAAGUUGGUACUUAAUUCAGUUGUCCUCCAAAUCUGGAUUGUUUUUGCUAGUACUUUGUUUACACUUUGUCAUGACUACCCAUCACUCUGGUCUAUCUUCAAAUAAACUGCAGGAAUAAUAAUAGUAAGAAUUUGCGGCUAUUGGAUGUUGAUAUUCAAUUUGAAUUUCGUUAUCAAUCCUCUUUGGAUAUUGAUCCAUUUCUUUUUUCUGUUGCCUUCGUUGUAGAGUGGAGUUAGGUAAUAAAUUGGUAGACCAUUUAUCAUGGAGGGUGGCGGCACAGCUGGUGUAUGAUGGACUACAAUACUGGGAUUUCGUUGCAGCCGUUGGAUGCUGAAGUGGAAGUAGUUUGCACAUUUGGGUGCCGGCGGUUAUGGUUAAGUAAAUGUGGAUUGGAAGAAUCUGAGGAGGAGGAUUAUCGCAAGCGAGGCGGCUGAGUUAGGAGAGAGGGGACCAUUUUUUACUUUUCUUCUGCAGGUUAAAAGGGGUUUUGGAUUUGUGGAUGUGGUGGAUGGUGGAUAUGGAUGGGGAUUAGGGUAGAAAUGAAUCUAAUUAUGUCGAACAUCCUAGUGUUCAAACUUAUUUGAUUACUUUAAUGAAUUUGAAAUUUGGUACAAGUUUGCUUUGUUUAUUUGUCGAACCGAUUUGAACGAACGUUUUAUCUGACUUAAAAGUUAUUGAACAUAAAAUGCUGUUCAAAUUUAAUUUGACUAGUUGACGAUCUAAAUUAGAACGAGCUCUUACGAAGUCGAGUUCAUUUCAAUUAUUGAGUAGUUUGGUUCAUCUUUCAACUCUGAAUGAGAAAGUGAUGUCGGGAAUGUGUCGAUGAGCUGAGCUAUGCCACAAACUCGGGGCGGGGUAGGGGCGGGGCUGUCGUUUCUUCUUCUUCUAGCAUGUGAGAUAAAUGGAAGGAAAAUGAGGUUAAUUUGCAGAGGAAACUGGAAGGUCCCCCAAACGUAAGGGGAAGAAACCUUUCCAAGUCUUUAAAGCUAGAAAUGGCUAUUGCAACCAUGGUUAGCCAUUUCAGUCGGGUCAUAACCAGAACAAAGGAAACUGGUACGAUACCGAUCCCCAAAUCGUCAAUAAUUUCAUAUUCACAACGAUUCACUCUAACUCGGUCGAUAUUGGUUUACGCAAAUUCGUGAUGCAUGGCUAAAUAUCCGAAUCAACUUGAAGUCGAUUCAAAUAUUUUUUUAGAUUGUAUCUUUUAUGAUAUUUUUUAUUUUUAGUAAUUUUUUAGAUUUUUUUUAAAAAAUUUAUUAUGUGUUAUUAUAUACGUAUUACUCGGUAUUCAACUGUUAUGCCUCGGCAAAUAUGAAACAACCGCAACUGCAACACACGAUGGCUAACCAUGAUUGCAACUAUGACCUGGUUUGAGGGGACCAAUUACCAACCACUAUUGACGAAUCACAAUCCUUUGGCUGGCCCGCCAUUAAACAUCCUAUUCUUGCGUAUUCUUCUUCAACACUUCCACAUGGAUGUAUCAACAGUAAUAGGUUCCCCUGAAAAUAUCUUGGGCCUUAAUUCACACAGUUGCAUUGGCUGCACUUACAGUUGCAUCUGAGAACAUGUUCAAGACGUCUUGGUUUCUUGAGUUUGGUACUUUCAAUCUUCUCCCUUCAGACAAGUAUUUGCUGAAAUUUGAUACACAUUGAGAAACUUAUUUGGUUUUUUUUCCCCACAAAUUUGACUCAAAAAUUCAUAGAUUCAUUAGAACAAAAAAUUCAUCUUUUUUUUUUUUAACUUAGACACAAAUGUGAUCGUCAUCAUAAAUCCAAUGCAAGAAUUCAAACAUAAGAGGUAUACAAUGAUCCACGUUGAAGAUAAGUUUUUACCUCUAUUUAAAAAAAAAAAGGUUGUUAUUACUUUACCCCCUUAAUGUUCGGCGCUACUAUUAAUUUCCCUCUUAACGUUAUCUUUUUGUCACUUUACCCCUCCAAGACUAACGGUCAAUCUUAAUGGAGUUUGUUAAUUAAAGUAAAAAGACAAGUAUAACCCUUAAAGUUAUUAUUAUUUUACUCCCAUAAACUAUAGUCUCAUUAUCAAUUUACCCCACUAGAGUUAUUUUUUAGGCAAUUUAUCCCGCCAUUAAACCAACUUAGCAAGUUAAAAAACUUUAGAAGAAAGUACUCGCCUCUUUGUAUAAUAAAAAUAAUAAAAAAUUUAGAGUGGCUCUUCUCCUCUUUAGUAUCAAGAAAAAAAAUCAAAGUAUUAAUUUCUUUUUUCUUGGCAAUCUUAUUAAUAUUAAAAAAAAUAGAAAGAUCCGAAGGGGGAGGAAGAGGGGGAGAGAUAGAGAUAGAGAGAGAGCUCAAUUCUUUUUUUUUUUUAAGAAAAUACAAAUAAGAAAGAAUUAAAUACUUUUAUUAUUUUAAAAUUAUUUCACUUUACUAUUUAUCUCCAGAUUUCAAUCCUAAUCCCAACAAUCUUAAAUUAAUACAAUAAUGUUAGACUUUUUUUUCUUUGCAAAAUCUAAUUUUCUGUCUCUUUCUUACCUAUUUCUUUUUCUUUUCAUAGCAUUAAUAAGUGUGAAAAAAGAAAUUUGAGAAAACCCUUUUAUUUUUAUAUUUUUGGAUCUCUUAAAGUGAAAAAAAGAAGAACAAUCAUUCUAAAUUUUUUAUUUUUAAUUAUAUAUAAGGUAAAUAUAUUUAAAAAUUUUUGACCAUAGUAGUUAGAUUAACGAUGAAGUAAAAUGCCAAGAAAAUGAUGUUAGGAAUUAAAUCGAUUUUAUCACUAUAAUUUAAAGAAAUAAAGUAAUAAUAACAGUGUAGUAAUGCUAUAGAAUAAAAGGGUAUUUUUGUCCAAAAUUUCUUAAUAUGUUGAGUUGAAUUAUUUAUGGGGAUGAAAUGACUAAAAAAUAACGUUAGGGCAUAAACUGACAGUAGCGAUAUAGGUAUAAAAAGUCAAUUGAUAUCAUCCUACAACUCGCCUACUAGAUUGCUUGACUUUUUUUUUUUUUUUCUUGUCUGCAAUCCUUACAAAAAAGAAGCCUUUAGAAAUCUGUACAUACUGUAGCAGGAGUAUAAACUAUCAUCAAGGAUACUGUAGUGCAUUCUUGAAGUUAAUCAUAAGAACCUUCCCAAUAAUGGAGACUACUCCAAGCACCAAAGUUCCACGCAUAUUUCUUUGUUCAUUAGUUCUUAUUUUCUCAAUGCCAUGGAGUACUAAAGCUCAAAUUCAUGAGGGAUUUCUUCGGUGUCUUCAUUCUCAGAACAAUGACUCAAUCUCCCAAGUCAUUUAUACGCCAACAAACACUUCGUAUAAUUCUGUUCUGCAAUCUUCCAUACAGAACAUAAGAUUUUUAUCUCCCAUGGAAAGAAAGCCCUUGGUCAUAGUUACGCCACUGAGCAAUUUUCACGUUCAGUUAGUUGUUAAUUGUGCAAAAUCCAAUGACUUACAGAUCAGAGUUAGAUCAGGAGGCCAUGAUUACGAGGGUCUUUCUUAUCUUUCCUAUUAUCUCCAGCCAUUUGUUAUUGUUGAUAUGAGGAAUCUGAGUAGAAUAUCCAUCGAUACUGAGAGUAAAACGGCCUGGAUUGGAGCUGGAGUAGGCCUUGGCAAACUCUAUCAUGCAAUUGCUGAGAAGAGCCCCAAUCUUGGCUUUCCAGCAGGUACAUGUCCUACCGUAGGAGCAGGUGGACACAUUAGUGGAGGUGGAGAAGGCACGUUGACGCGAAAAUAUGGCCUAGCUGCUGACAAUGUCAUUGAUGCUAAAAUUGUGAAAGCGGAUGGAGCAAUUCUUGAUAGAAAAUCAAUGGGAGAGGAUCUUUUCUGGGCUAUUAGAGGUGGAGGAGGAGCCAGUUUUGGAGUAAUUCUUGCGUACAGGAUCCAAUUGGUAUCCGUUCCAUCGAUAGUUACUGUUUUUUCAGUCAACAGAUCUUUAGAACAGAACGCAACCAAGCUUGUCCACCUGUGGCAACAUAUUGGAUAUAGGCUUGAUCGAGACUUACUCAUCAGAGUUUUUAUUACACAGGCGAGGAGUGGUGGAAAAUUAACAGUUCAAGCUGCAUUUCAAUCUUUGUACCUCGGAACAGUUGCCAAGCUUGUUCCACUGAUGCAAGAAAGCUUCCCUGAGCUAGGAUUACGCCGAGAAGACUGCACGGAGUUGAGCUGGAUUGAGUCUGCUGUUUAUUUCUCUGAUCUCCCAAGUGGAUCAACUGUAGAUGAUUUGGUACGCAGCAGUCCAUAUCCCAAAAAUUAUUACAAAAACAAAUCAGACUACGUAGUCGAGCCCAUCUCUGAAG